UUUUUGUGGAUGUCAUUUUUGCAAGGUGGGACUAGCAAUCUAGGUGGACCACAAAGUGCACAAUUCUUCAUGAAUGAUGUGCUAGAAAAGUUUGAAAAACAUCCUUUGCUGGGAAUUUCCCCUUCAAGUCUAUUGAAAGACACAUUAAAAUACUUUAGAUAUAAAAGUUGUUCCAAAGAUUUGGGAAUGACUCCAGAGAAAUUGUUAUUGCAUAAAUCCAAGAAUUCCAAACUAAUCAACCCAUCAAAUGAUUCAGGGAUACGACCAUGUAGUAUAUUAUUUGAUAAAUCUAAUGAAACCAAAGUUUGAAGACCCCCAAAUGUGGAUAAGAUAUCGCCCAUGAGAAGAUUCCUUGAUAAAUUUAGUCUCAGUAGACUCCUAAAAUUUCCAACAUCAAUAGCAUGUGAAUUGUGAAGACGGUUUGAUGAUAAAUCUAUUUCUAAGAUAUCUUUAAGACUCCACAAAGUUGAGGGUAUUGUAGAACUCAAUUUGUUGGAAUCUAACCAAAGAUAUCUCAAAGCAGAAAUAUUACCUAAACAAGAGGGUAUGGAUCCAUGCAGCUUAUUCAACCCUAAAUGCAUCUCGUAUAGUCUCUCCAAACCACAGAGGCUUUCUGGGAUAGGCCCUCCUAAUUUAUUAGAGGAAAGAUCUAGACCUUGCAGAUUCCGCAGUCCUCCUAUUGAUGCUGGAAUGAAUCCACUUAAUUUAUUAUGGCCAAGUUCUAAAACCAAUAAGUUGGUUAAGUUACCUAUUUCCAUAGGAAUAAUGCCUUGAAGCUCACAAUUAUAGGCAAGAAAGAAUUGAAGGGAUUUUGAAAGGUUCCCGAUAUAAGUAGGAAGAACACCACUCAAUGGAUUUCCCGAAACUCCUAUGGCUUUCAAAUUCCUACAAUUCGUCAAAGAAGAAAGAAAGCUCCACUCAUGAUCAGUAGCAGAUCCUGUGAUCAAAUUAUUGUCAAAGAUUUUGAGCACUUCAAGGUGUUUUAAGCUGCCUAGCGUUUUAGGGAUUGGGCCAGAGAAUAAGUUAUGUGACAAGGAUAGAAUCUUUAGCAUGGAAGCAUUGGAGAUAGAGUUGGGAAUGUUUCCGCUAAGUUUAUUUCCCCACAAUAAAAGAAUCUCAAGCUUUGGAGCAUUGGUGAUGGGUGGUAAAUUACCUGUAAAAUAGCAUCUUUUAGUAUACAUAUUCACAAAAUAUAUAAUACAUUAAAAUAAAAACUGUAAAACUUUAAAUCAAUUAAGAAUAAAAUUUUGGCAUGGAAAAAUGUGAUGAAAUCAAUUAGAAAGUUGAGACAUAAUAAGAAGUUUUGAGUACUAAUUAGUCUUUGUGAUUUGUAUAGACAAAACAUAUAAUACACUAAUAAUUUUUUAAAAUAUUGUAAAACUUGAAAUAAAAUAAAAAUAAAAGUUUGGCAUGAGAAUGUGGCAUCUAAUCAAUCUUAAAAAUGAGACUCACACUGAAUAAUAAUUAGUUAUGAUUUGGGAAACAAAAAUGUUAAAGCCAUUGUUUUUAAUGUAAACUGGUAUGAUUCUUAUCUAUUGGGUUAAUUAUUUAUUUUUAUUAAAUUAUAGUGUAAAAUUUAAAUAUUAUUAUUUGCUCAAAAUUUUUGUAUUUUUCGUAUAUUUGAAAUUCAAUCUUUAUAUUUUUUAUUUUCUGUGAUUUAGUCUCUCUACUUUUUUUAUUAAAAAUUUUAGGUUCAUUUAUUAACACUGUUAAAAAGUUUUUGUAUUAGUAUGACAUUUUGAAAAAUAAAAUAAACUUGAUAUCUAUGUUUUUAAUUAUUCCAAAUAUUGUUUUACUAUUUCAAGAUAAAUUAUUUGUGUCUAGACCAAUAUCUUAAGAACUAUUGUUGCAUGUUUAAUUAUUCUAAAAAAUUAUUGAUUGAGUCUUAGCUUGAUUGGCAUGUGCAUUGUUGCCAAUAUAAGAGAAUGUGGGAUCAAAUAUGCUGAAGUUCAUUAUCCUCCUGUUAUGAAUUGGGGAGUUGGUAAAGUAUUAAAUUUUGAUAUAUUUUAAAAUAUUAAAAAUUUAUUAAAAUAUUUUUUAUAAAAAUCGGUUGUACCACAAUAUACAAUUUUAAUAUCAAAUUUUUAAUAUUUUUAAAAUAUUAGCGAAUAUAUACUUUAUUUCAAGUUACACAAUUUUUACUAGUUUUUAACUUUUUUUAAAAUUUUUAUCGUCUUUUAUAAUUUCUAAUAAUUUUUUACAAUAUUUAACAAUUUCUAACCAUUUUUAAUAAUUUUAUUACUUAUUAAAAAUUAACAAAUUAACUAUUUUUUAUUUUUUUAAAACAAUUAUAUAUUUAUAAUGUAGUUAUUUUUUUAUAAUUUUAUUUGAAAUUUUAAAGUUUUUUUGGUUUGUUUUCUAGAUGAUGAUGCCAUCAUGAUGUCAUCAUAUGCCACAUGGCAAUUUAUGAUUAGUUGAAUAUCUCAAUUUAUUUUUUUAAUGUCCAAUGGACUAAACCAAGAACACUUGAUUAUGUUAGAGACUACACUAGGAAUGUUUGAUAACAUUAGGUACUAAAGUAGGAAAAAAAAAAAAAGGAGCAAUACGAUGUAGGGAGUAAACUGUGCAUUAAGCCAUUAAAAAUAUAUCUAUAAUAUAUAUAAAUGCAUGGAUUUUGAGAAACUUUUGAAAUGAUAAUUAUAUAGUCUUUGUUUUUUUACUAUAUUAUUGAAUUUGUUAUUUUAAAUAUUUUUUUAUUACUUUUAAGAUUUAUCAUAUGUAUGGAUAAGAAUUUUGGUUUUACUAAAAUAUUUGGUUAAAUAAAUUCACUUCAUAAGAAGAUUUAGCAUCCUUGUAAAUAACAAUUUUGAUUCUAUUAAAAAAUUAUUUUAAAAUAUAUAUAAUAAAAUUUUAAAAUUUAUAUUGAAUUACUUUAUACUUAAAUUAUUAUUAGAAACUUUAUCAUACACAUACGUGUAUGAGAACUAUGUAUUUAGAACAUAAAUUUGUGUUUUAAAAUAACUUAUGAUAAAUAAUGAAAUGUAUAAUUUGAAACUAUUUAAUAAAAACACAUGGCUUAUCUACAAUAUUAAAAUAAAAAUAGCUUAAAUUGUAAGCAAAACAUAAUUUAAACAUAUGAAUACAUUAAAUUAAGAAUACUAAAUGAAUACAGUUAUUUAUGAUGGUGUUGUCUUCAAUUCCUAAGUUGGUGUCAAGUUAAUUUGUGACAUCAUAAAUUUAAGGUUUUAUGUAUUGAUGUGGAUUCAAAUAUCACCAUUUUUUUUAAAAUAAAAUUUAAAAUAAAUACAUUUUCCACAUUGGUUUCUUUUCUUCUACAGACAAAGGAUUUCUAAUGAUUUUUUUUUUAAAAAAAAUUACUUAUAUAAAAUAGAUUAGUUUAUGCAAUAAAAAUAAUUUCUUUUUUAAAGUUUAAUAGAAAUUAAAAAACAAAAAAAAAAUCAAUUCAUAUAAAGCUUAUUGUUUAUUAUCAGAUUAAAAUGAUAAAAGUAUACGAUAAACCCAUACUUGACGGAAUGUUACCAGAUAAUUCAUUUUUAUUCUAGUAAAGCCCUUCAAGCUUGAGAAUAUGUUGACACAUAUCAUUAGGCAAACUACCUGAUAGGUUAUUGUUGGAGAGAUCAAUGGCCUUCAGAGAAGAAAUGUUGAAGAUCGAAGUUGGAAUCUGACCUGUAAGGCCUUUAAUUUCUCUAAUAUUAAGCAGUUCCAAACCAAGAAGAUUACCGAUUUCCUCAGGAAUUUGAUCUGCACACAUAGUCGAAAAAUCAAGAUGUGAAACUACCUAUUUUGUUAGCAUAAGUCAAAGAGGUUUUCUUUUCUGUUCUACAUAAUUUGCAGAUGUUAGAUUUUAAUAUUUUUAAGCAUAUUUGUUUUCAUCAAAUUAACUAUUUUGAACUAUUUUGCCUUGAAUGAAAUAAAAUGCUCAUAUUUUUGUUAUCUAUUACUAAUCAAACUCUUUUAUAAAAAAAAAUACUUUAAACUAAAGAAACCAAGAAAAUUCAAUACCUUCUAAGUUAUUCAACUCCAAAUAUAAUUCUUUGAGUCGUGUCAGAUUUCCAAUACUUCUUGGAAUGAUCCCCCUCAAUUUAUUAUCGGAAAAUGCCAAUAUUUUAAGGUUGCUGCAUUUGCCCAUACUUGAUGGAAUGUUACCAGAUAAUUCAUUUUUAUUCAAGUAAAGCCCUUCAAGCUUGGGAAGAUGUUGACACAUAUCAUUAGGCAAACUACCUGAUAGGCUAUUGCUGGAGAGAGCAAUAGUCUUGAGAGAAUAAAUGUUGAAGAUCGAAGUUGGAAUUUGACCUGUAAAGCCUUUAAUUGCUUGAAUACUAAGCAUUUCCAAAUUAAAAAGAUUACCGAUUUCUUCAGGAAUUUGACCUGCUGACAUAGUCGAAACAUCAAGGUGUUAAAUUACCUAUUUUGUUAGUGUAAAUCAAAGAGGAUUUUUAUUUUUCUCGUUAUGAAAUAAUAUGGAUAUGUUAGAUUCUAAUCAUAUUUAAGUAUAUAUUAGUUCUUGAAAGAAAGAGUUCUUAGUAUUUAUAUUGCAAAUAUUUUUUUUAAAAUUUAAAAAAAGGGGGGGGGGCAAAUGUGUUUAAACUAAAGAGAUCAAGGAAAAGGCAUACCAUCUAGGUUAUUUAACCCCAAGUAUACUUGUUUAAGUUGUGUCAAAUUCCCAAUGCUUUUUGGAAUGAUCCCACUAAAUUGAUUAAUAGACAAUUCCAAAAUUUGAAGGUUGCAGCAUUUGUCUAUACUUGAUGGAAUAGAACUUGAUAAUUCAUUUCUACUCAAGUAAAGCUCUUUAAGCUUGGGAAGAUGGACACACAGAUCAUCGGGUAAGCCACCAGAAAGACUAUUAUCACGAAAAUGAAUCCUUUUCAAAGAAGAAAUGUUAAAGAUGGAAGAUGGAACCAGGCCAGAUAAUUGAUUGAAUCCCAAGUUCAAGAUCUCUAGAUUGGAUAAGUUGACAAGUGUUUGAGGGAUUGUGCCUGUGAAGUUAUUAUUUCUCAUUUCCAACCUUUGAACUCUGUGCAAGUUCCCAAGCCAUGAUGGAAUUUCCCCAUUAAGACGGUUGUAGCUUAAUCGAAUGAUCCUCAAACGAUGCAAUUGGCCCAAUUCUUUAGGCAGAUGGCCAUAGAAAUUGUUGUUGCUCAGGUCGAGAGAAAAUAGAAAUGAAAGAUUUCCAAGGUGUGGAGGGAUAGUACCCCUAAGAUUCAUGUUUGUAAGAUUCAAAGCUACAACUCUUUCAUGGAUGAUGUCACAAGAAACACCAGCCCACUUACAAACAGAGGUAGAGUUCGUCCAAUUGUUUGCCAACACAUUUUGAGGAUCGACAAUGCGAUCUUUAAACUCAAAGAGUGCAAACUGAUAGGAGUUGAGAUUCCGGACUGUCAUAGCCAAGGAAACAAUGGAACAUUGUAUGAAUAAAAGUGAAAGAAGAUGAAAGCAAGUGUUGUAGUUCAUGAUGGCAAGACGAAAUAAGCCAGGAAAAGGGAAGUUGAAUUGAUGAAGAAAUACCCAGCCAACAUGCUUAAAUAGGCUUCAACCCUUGCACACUUCUCAUACAUAAAGUUCACUGCCAUUACAACAAGAAAACUCGUAUCUCCAUUCAUACCUAUCCAUACUUUAUUUGACUAACUUUUCCCUAACAGGUGUUCAGUAAGGAGACAAAUCACUUUGGAGCUAUUCACCGACUUCUCCAACCUUGGUUUCAAACUCCUAGCCCAUCAAUUCACUUUAAUUGAAACGAUAUACACGAGUCUUUCGGCUUAUAUUUUUAACUUACUACUUCUCUUUUUAAUUUAUUUUUUGUUACUUCUCAUAAUAUUUUUUGAGAAAUCCAAUAUUCCAGUCUGAAAUUUCUUCAUUGCCACGUCUAUCUCCUCGGUAAGUUCGUGGCUAGGCGGCCCACUUUGGGGGCAGGAUUGUAAUUUUAGUUCUAUCCGACUCAUUUUACUAUUUAGAAAUAUAAAAGUAAUAUUAUAUUAAUUUUUAUAUUUUUAUAAAUUUAAAUUUAAAUUUAAUUUUUAAACAAUAAAACGAGUCAUUUUUAUUUGCCUAGGCUAAAUUGAAUCAGGAGUGAAAAAUUUUUUAAUCAUAAUUUACUAUUAUUUUAAUUAAUUAAAUUUUAAUUUACUAUAACUAGUAGUUGCAAAAAAAAUGACAUUCCUUUAGAAAAAUGAGAACUUAUGAAGCAUUCAAUAAGAGUUGUUGGAAUACAUGGUAACGAAACCAUAAUUCGAUAUAAAACUAUAUAAAUAAUGUAAGAUUUGUGAUACCUAAAUUGUUAUGUUUUCUAUAAAUAUAUGGAGAUUUUUUAUUAGGAAAUAAUUUUAUAUAUCAACAUUUGUUAUUUUCUUUUGAUAGAAAUUUAAUUAUGUUAUCUGUAGAAAAAAAUAUUUAUAGAAAUAUCAUUAGUAGAAAAUCAUAAAUUUGUGUGUGGCAAAAAAUUUUCACCACCAAGAAAGGGACAAAUUAAACAACUUGAAAGUCAUUGGUUGUUUAAAAUAUUAGAUAAUAAUUUUAGUGAAGAAUCAUUAAAAUUAUGACAAAAUAACCCUAGAUAUUGUAGUAUUAAAUUAGAAAAUCUCAAUAAUAUUAUUAGAGUAAAACCUAUGAUGUAUCUAAACAAGAUAUAGAAGAAUUUGAUAUACAAAUUAAGGGUAGAAAUCAUACGGAAAUAAUAAAAAACAAGAAAAAGCUAGUAUGGUCAUUAAUUAUAAAAGAUUAAAUCAAAAUAUUAUUUUUUGUAGUUACUUGAAUUAAUCAGGAUAAACAAAAAAAAAUAUUUUAGUAAAUUUGACUGUAAAUCAGGAUUCUAGUAAAUCAUGCUAACAGAAAAAUCUAAACCUUUAACAGCUUUUAGUGCACCCAAUGGACAUUAUUAAUGGAAAGUGAUGUCAUUUGAAUUAUGCGAUGCACCACAAAUCUUCCAAAGACAAAUGGAUUUUAUAUUUAAUAAAUAUAAAAAAUUAUGGGUAGUUUAUAUAGAUGAUAUUUUGAUAUUUUCAGAUACACUAGAAUUACAUAAGAAAUAUUUAAAUAUUAUUUCUUAAGAAUUCAUAAAAUAUAGAAUCAUAUUAAACCCUAAAAGUAUGGAGUUAGAAAAAAGAGAGGGAAUUUUUAUAAUAGUGGAAAUAAAAAAUUGUCCUCAAAAGAUUGAAGAAAAAAAGAAGUUACAACAAUUUGUAAUAUAUUCCUCCCAAAUUUUCAGUUGCAAAUUUAUUACAGAAUUUCUUUGCCGACAAUAAGAAAAGAGCAUAUUCACAUUUUCGUCGCAAUUUCAACUAACAACCAAUCUGUUUCCCACUUUCCUUUUUCGGCCAAUUUCAAACGUAACUGUUUUUCGAAUUUUCCUCUUUAUUUCAUUAAUAAAAUGAUCAAUCUAUUUGUUUUUUAAAUAUAUAAUUUUAUUAAUAUUUUUUAAUUAUAAUAUAAGAGUUGUUGUUUAUUUAUAGUUUUAUUACAUUAUUUAAUCUCUUUUUUAUAUCAAGUUUUUAAAAUUAUAAUAUAAGAUUUAUUUUAUCAAAUUGUGGCUUAUCAAAUGUUCAUCUAUUUUAAUAAUAACUUGAGUUCGAAUCAUUAUCAUACCAGAAAGAGUUCCCUUUAUUCUUUAUCGUAAAUUUUAUAAGAAAUUAUAUUUUAUUAUAAUACUAUAUGUGUUAGAAUAAUAUUUUAUUGUGGAUGCCCAUAAUUCUCAAAGUUGUAACCUUGAAUGUAGUAACCUCAAUGAAAUUAUGAGGCUUUUAUAUUGUAAUCAAGCCUCUAUCUAUUCUUUGUAUUCUUUGUAGAAAAUAUGAAGUUGAUUUUACUUUAUUAAAAAAUUUAAAAUAAAUUAUCUUGUUUUUUUUUAAAUGAGUUAACCAAAUUAGCAUAUUUAUUUUGAUCUAAAAUUAUCCAAAAUAAUAUAAAAUAUUAUAUUAAUAAAAUUAAAACUAUGAAAUAAUUUUUUUUAAAGAUUAUUAUUUACUUUUAUCAAACAAUACAAUUAUAUUCAGUACUUAUAUUUACUAGUUUACCAAACAGUUUUCCAAUAUGAAUUCAACACUUAUCAAAUUCAGUAUUAAAAAUUCAGUGCUUAAUUUUUUAGCACUUAACUUUUCAAUUCAUCAAGCACGUCUAAUUCAAUUUAUACAAUUCCCUAUUUGUAUCUCUAUGAAUUUAUAAAAUCCUUCUCGCAUUUAGUUGUUGGGAUCUUUAUAUGAAGAUAGAUGCUUUUAUUUUUUAUUGGUUCAUUUUUAAUUGUAUUGAUUUAUUUAAUUUUAAUUUUGAUUAAUAUAUAUGAUUAUUGUGGAAUGGGAGUAAAAGUAUUUACUUCUCAUAAACUUUGAAAUAUUCACCCUGUCUACAUAUUAAUUAUUGUAAAAUUUGAAUUGAAAUUAUGCCAUAAAAGGUGGAGGUUAGAAAACCUCUUAUUGAGACCUUAUAAUAUUUUGUAAUUUUUUGUGUUAUGGUAUAUAAAAAAAUAUCUAACCAUAGUGAUUGAUUAGUAAUAUAAAUUUGUUAUUUGUUAUGUUUAAUAUAUAUUUUAUUUAUACUUAUUCAUUUUAUUUUUAUAUGAGUAAAUGAAGUGUUUGAAGAUUCGAAAUUUUUAUCAUCCAUGUUGAAAAUAAGUGCAAAAGUGUAUAUUAUUUAAAAUAAAUUACGCAUUCAUUAAUGUUAUGUGAUAAAAUCAUUACAUUUUCUGAAGAACUAAUAUUGCAUCAAACUGUAAAAAGCUCUUGAAGAGCUAAUAUUUAUCUCCCUGUGAUGCAAAAUCUUGUAAAACAUGAUAUUAUUUUUCAAAUCAAGAAGAUUUAUGUUGAAGGAAAUAUUUAUGUGUUUUACAUUAAAACCAUGGAUAGAAAUGACAUGAGACACUCAUGUAUUUGCAUUAUAAAUAUUCCUUGAAGGAAUACACUUCACUUGUAUGAUUGACAUAUGAGAUAAUAGCAAGAAGUUUAUAGUGUUGGUAUGGCCGGCUAGACCAUCUCAAGUCAAUAAUGAUGCAAAAUAAUUUGAAGAGAAUUUAUAUGAUUUUAUUGAAGAAUGAGAAGUUAUUUUCAUUUUGAUAAUUGUCAUCAACAAUAGUUCUUUGGAAAAAAAAAUAUUGAACUAACAUCAACUAAAGUUAGAGGUUGGUUCAUGGUUGCAUUUUUUGAUGAUAUCCAAAUAAUAUAUGAGCUCAUGUAUCACAUGUAUGCAACCCAAAGUUUACAGUAUUAUUUCUUGAAAUAAUUUGAUUCUACACAAUCUCUAUAGCAUGCAAUUUGUGCUAACAACACUGGUGCAUUAUAUCCUAAGCUUGAUUUUCGUAGUUUUAGCUGAGAUAAUAUUAAGUUGUCUAUGCCUAUAUAUAUUAUACUUAAUGGUUAGCAAAAUUAUGCCUCCAUUUAAUUGCUUAACCAUUAAUAUAAGAAUAGCUUUAAAAUAAGCAUGUAAUUUUAUUUGCAUCGAGCCAACAUGUAAGAAAUAUUUGUCCCAUGAGAAUUAGCUUUUAUUUAUAAGCCAAUAGGUUUCAUUUAUGACUAUUUGGAUGUAAAAUAUCUAUUUUAUAUUCCACCAUAAUGCACUAAGAUGGACCAUCAAGUAUGAAGUUGAGAAAAAUUAGAAUUUUUAUUUGAUGGUAAAAGUUGAAAAGAGAUAUAUAUUUAUAAUUUUGAAAAAAAUAGUCAUGUUGCAAAUUUUCUCAGUAUUAGAGGGAGACAAGUUGGACAAAUACGUAUAAUUAUGUCAUCACUUUUUGUGAUCCCUCACUAAUCUUAUGUGCACAAAGUUUGAAGGAAAAAAAUAAUUUGCUAGACAUGUUUAGUGAUGACAUUUAGAGAUUGUAUAUAUUGGAUGAUACAUAUACCAGCUAAAAUGUUCCAAAUAAUUAUGCGUCCUAGAAGGACAAAGUGAUAAAAAUAAUUUUUGGGCACGCUAGAAGGAUGAAAAACUAGUUGGUUCUAUAAAUAAAAAAAUUCUUGACAGAAAAGAGUAAGAAAUGAAUAUGGCCACACGUUAAAGGAGACGAGUACUCAUGAAGAGACCCAAGGUAUAACUUUUAAUAAAACCCCAAAAGAGGUUCAAUACAUGAAAUUAUGAAUAUAAUAAGUGUAAUAACCAAAUUUUUCCCGGGCCCAAUGCCAAACAAAUAAAACCCAAACCAAAUAAAUAAAAUAAGAGUCCAAAUUAUAGUCCGUUAGGGCCCAAUUCAGACCAGCCCACUAUUCAAUCAGACCAGCCGAACAACAAAAAAAAACCUAGUAGCCCACAGCCCAACUAAGCCUAAAAAAUUUUCAGCAAAAGAAAAAACCCUAGCUGCCAUGCUAGCCGCUGCUCCUGCCCUAGCCUCUGCCCACUAUCGUACGCCACCUCUGCCAUCACCAUUAGCCUCUGACACCUGCAAAACAGCAAACAACAUGCAACAACAGAGAAGAAGACGACAAGCAAAAAACAAAUCACUAAAGGACAAAAAUAAUGAUAACAAAUAGCCUUAGUUUGGCUAUAAAAGCAAAAAAAAUGAAAACUUUGUACUUCUUUGGCAAGAUUAAUACAAAAAAGAAAAGAUUUGAACUUUUUAGGGUGAUAUUUCAUUUUUUUUUACGCUUUAGAUCUAUUUUUUUAUUUCAUCUUCAUCUACGAAAAUAAUAGAAAAAAGACUUUGAUUUCAAGGUGAUAUUUUGUUGUUUUUUUAGAUCUAGUGUUUUUUUAUUUAUUUUUAUCUACAAAAAUAAAAAAAGGAAAAGAGAAACGUACCUAAUUCACCCCGUGGCUCCGUCGACGGAAGUCCCAUCGCCAUCGUCGGAAUCGGGCUUAAAAGGGGAAGGUUUUUAUUUUUCUUUACUUUUUUUUGGAUUUUUCGUCUCAAGAAAUGGACUAAGGGAGGGGAAAUGGCCAAAAUGGUCUUUUUCCGAUGAACUCUGGCAACCACAUGUGGCAGUUAACAGUGCCGGUGCUCGGUGGCUGCGGUGGAGCCAUGGUGGUGUCCCAUGGCCGGAUCUAGAGAGGAAGCCUUUAAGAGGGAGAGAGUUUCUAACAUUUUUUUUAUUUUCUAAGGCAGAAAUGAAUUUUUGAAAAAAAAAAGUUGGGUUUUAUAAGUGCGUGAAAUGGCGCCAUUUUGCGCAAGUGCACAUCGACGUCGAAACGACAUCGUUUACCCCUUUACCCGCUUGCCCGAGUCUGGCUCGAUGAAGGUCCGCAUAUUUUCAUGCCUGAUGGGUUAUUUCCCUGCCCGAUCCUUCCGAUUUUGGGCUUCUUCUCAAUCUGGUCCUGAUCCUACUUUUUCCCGCCUUUUAAAUUGUACCAUUUAAUUUCAUUUCAUUUUCAACUCGGUCCCUCGGCUGACCAAAGGAAAUGAUGCGCAUAAAGUUAAGGGAUAUUUUCCCUUUCAAUCCCCAAUAUUUUUAGAGCGAUGCAUUUUAAUCCCUAACCUUUCAUUCCAAUCUUUUACACAUAUUAUUUCAUUUUAUUCGUUUAUUUAUUGACUUAUCAUUUUUACCCUCUUUUUAUACUUAAAAAUAUAUAUUAUUUACACUAUUACUUGCAUUUUUUUACUAUUAAAUUAUUAUUUUUAAUGUAUUAUAUUCCCAUUAUUUUACCAUUUUAUUUAUUUUGAUACUUUCAUGUCACAUUUAUUUAUUUUAAUAUUGCCAUUAUUUAUUUUAUUUUAUUCUUAUGUUUUUUAGUAUUUUAUUAUUUCUUUUAUUGUUCACGGUUUUUUUUUCAUGUUAUACAUUUUUAUCUUUCUAAUCAUGCAUUUUUCCUUUUUUUAUUUUGUUUUAGGUUACGUUAUUUAUUAUUAUUAUUAUGAUAAUAUUAUUAUAAUUAUAUUACCAUUAUUAUAGAAUUCCUUUAUUUGUAUAUUCCAUUAUAACUAUUAUUAUUAUUAGUAGUCUUUAACUCACUUCUAUUUUUAUUAUUAUUUUUUAGAAUAGUAGUCAACAUGCUUAUCCUUAUUGUUAUUUGGUGUUGUUCUUAUGAUUUUAUCAUCAUUAUUGUUGUAUUUCAUUUUUUGUUCACUCUUUAAAUAUUUUGUUCAUAUAGUUAUUUUACACUAUUGCAAUAUUGUUGCAUUACGCAUUAUGUUUCUUAUAUAAUAAUUAUUUCGCUUUCACGCGAUGUUCGAAUCAAUUAAACAUGAAUCUUCUCAAUUAUUACAUUAAUUGUUACUUAAGUUCAAAAAGAAAAUUUUCAAAAUAAGGCAAUAUUUUGCGUUUUGGAAAUUCGAGAAAUCAUACCCUAACUUACGAGGUUUCGAUUUUCUCGUUAAACUUAAAUAGCAAAAUAUUCUUUUAAAUUUCAAAAUGCAUGCAAUUUCAAUAAAAAUCAAAGGCAAGCUUAUUCUCUAAGGUUCCAAAUAUCGCGUCCUAACUUACGGGAUGUGACAUUUCGUUACCUCGAGACGAGUAGGUCUUCAACUCUCUUUUCGAUUUAUUCGAGCGUUUUUAAUAACAUUAAUAAAAAGGGAUCGUAUUUUAAAUUUCUAUUCAAGUUUUCAACCUUGGACAUUAAGACAUUACUUAAUCAACUAGGUACCACCUUUGGGUGUAUUGAGGGUGUGUUUUCUAGAUUUUGUAGACCAAAUAUUAUCGUUUUUAGUAAAUUUAAAUUUUUAUUAAAAUGAUUAAAUUACAAGUGUUGACACCAUUUUUUUGAUGAAAAACGGGGUCGACUUGGGUUUUAAAAAAAAUGAAAAACGGGAGUCGCCACCAAUCCUUUUUGAUAAGGUGUGAUUGGGUCACCUUGAAAAAUGGUUGUUUUUAAUAAAUGAUUUGAUUUUAUUAAAACAACGGUUUUGGUCCAUGAAAUUUAGAAAACGGGUUCGGGAGUCGAUUACGUACGAGGAAGGAUUAGCACCCUCGUAACGCCCAAAAAUUGGUACCUAGUUGGUUAGCUAAUGUCUUGAUGUCGAAAAUUGAGAACUUGGAAAAAAUUAAAAAUACGAUCCUUGUAUUAAAAUGAAAAUUUUAGGAAAAGGGGGGCAUACUUCACGCUAAUCGAGAAAGAGAAUCAUAUCCAGUAAGUUAGGACACAAUGUCUCGAAUUCCCGAUACGCGAAUGAAUGCCAAAAUUUUACUUAUUUAAAAGACAUUUUAGCCGUCUCGAAUUUAAAAAUGAAAUCACGACCAGUAAGUUAGGACGUGAUUUUUUAAAACUUGAGUUUGAAAAGAUUCGUGCAUCUAGAUUUAUCGUGAAAAUCAAUACCCAGUAAGUUAGGGUACGAUUUUCUUGAAUUUAAACACGAAAUGCCAUUUUUUAAAACAAAUUUUGUUAUAUCGAGUGAAAUAAAAACACAAAGUCGUAGUAAAAAAAUGUGUAAGCAAAUUACAUUGUUAUGCAUGGCAAAAUCAUAAUGAAUACAAAAGUAUAAAAAUGAUACGAGCAAUAACAACAAUAUAAAAUAAAUAAAAGUCAAACCUACAAUAAUAUUAAAUAACAAUGUAUAUAAACAAAUAAAAUUAAAACAUUCAUUCAAAAUAAUAAUGAAAAUGAAAUAAAUAAAUAGUAAAUACAAAAUAAAACAAUAGUAAUGAAUAAAAAUAAUAUAAUAUAUAUAUGUAUGUUAGAAUUAUAAAGUAUAAAAAUAUACGUAUGUGUAUAUAAGAAUAUGUAAGCAUGUAUAUACAUAGAUUAUAAAAUAUAGAUAUUUAUAUAAAAAUGAGUAUUUGUAUUAAAUAAGUUGAAAAAAAAUAUAUAUAUACCUACAUAUAUAUAAAAAAUUAUAUAAUAAUAACAAUAUAAUAAAACACAUAUAUCUAAAAUUUACAUAAGUAAAUAUAAAUAAAAACAUACUAAUAACAAUAAUAUUAAUAGUAAAAUGAUAAUACAUAAAAAUGAUGAAGAAAAUAAUAAAAAUGCUUAAAAGGGGACUAAAUCGAAGUAAGAACCAAAAAAAAGGGGCAAAAUCGAAAUAAAGACAAGAGGGACUAAAUUGUAACGCGCGCUGAAAGAGGGGGACCAACAGGGUAACUAAACCAAAGCCUCAAAACGCUGCUCUGUAAAGGACUGAAAUGAGACAAAAAUAAAAUUUUGUGGCCAAAUUGCAAAUAUGCGAAAAACUUCCAUGAAAUCGCUACAAAAUCAAAGGGACUAAUUGCGCAAAUAGACCCUUAAACAAAAACGCGCGGAUCCUUGGGUGCGGGUCGGGUCGACGUGCGGAUCCCCUCACCAAAACGGCGUCGUUUUGUGUUUAAUAUAAAUAUAAAAAAAGGGCUAAAAAAACAGUUUCAUCAUUUUUGUUGAAAAACUGAGAGAAACCUCUCUCUUUUUUCCCUUUCUCAGGCUCAGAUUCCGGAGAUGGCCCGGCCUAGGCUUCUGGCGAAUCUCCGCCGUAGAGCCACCGUGUGUGGCGGCCGGAGGUCCAAAAUCGGACCUUUUCGGUCCCUUUUUGAAACUAAGAAUCCCUAGGGUACGGAUCUGGGACCAAACCCCCGAAAAAAAGAAUCGGAGACCUAAAGAACGAGGGGAAACCGCUCGUCUUCUCUCCUCCGGCGCGGCGCAGGUAAGGUUUCUUUUUCCUUUAUUUAUAUUACGUAAAAAACAUACAAAAAGAAAAAAAAGAAAAUAGAGUUUAAAAAAAAUCUAAAACAGAAAUGAGAGAAAAUCACCUCUCAAGUUUUCUUGUUUUUUAUUUCUUUUUGCUAAUAUCUGUUUCUUCUUUUUACAAAAGUUGAUGGAAGAAGAAAAAAUUACAUUUUGUUGGCUUUUUAUAGCCGACUUCUACUACUGCCUGUGUUAUUUGCUCUCUGUUUCUUUGUUUUGUUUCUUCUUUGCAGGUGACGGUGCAAGUGGUGGUGGUGACGUGACCGUGGCAGUGGCGGUGUGAUGUUGGCGGCGGCGGCAGGCCAAAGGUCAAUAGGUGUGGAGCCUAGGGUUUUAGUUUUUGAAACCCUAGGCAGAUUUUUUUAGGGGAAUUGGGCCUUAGCUAUUGGGUCGUUCGGGUUUGGGCGUUGGGUUAGGCUAGUUGGGCUUUGAGGUUGGGUUGUUUUGUAAUGUGCUUUGGUGUUUGGGUUGGUAGGUGGUGGGUAAGGUUUAUUGUUUUGGGUUCUUGGGCCUGGUUCUGUUUGGUUAGGGUAAUGGGCCAUUUGGGUCUGGGCAUAAAAUUGGGCUAUACAACAAGGUGACCCGAUUACACCUCAUCAAAAAGGAUUGGUGGCGACUCCCAUUUUCAUUUUCAUUUCUUUUUAAAUCAAAGUCAACCCGUUUUUAAAAAAAUGGUUUCGACAAUAAGAUAUAUUGAUUAGUUAUGUCAUAACUAAAGAUGAUGGAGUUGACAAAAGGAAAUUGUAGUUAACAACGAAUAAUCUACGUAGAACAUUUCAAUAUUAUGGAAAAAUGAGUAUUUACCAACCUUCUUUUAGUCAAAUUAUGCAAGCCUAAAAUUUUUAGCUUAAUUUGAGUUUGUUGACUAUGUCUAAUUCAAGUUUUAUUAUUAAGGACUAAAUUGUAACUUAAAAAAAUUAGAAUACCAAUUUAAAGAGACAAAAAUUCAAAACCCCAAAACCCACAUGGGCAUGUGGGUAAGUGACACAGGCGUGUGGAGACUGGAGCUAUCACACACGGGCGAGUGGGACAGAAAAAUAUGAAAUAAAUUAAUCCACUUAAAUUUCAAACAACCAUGCUAUACUACCAAACCAAAUAAUGCUAGAAGCUUUGAAUAGGGGUGAAUCGAAAAAAAAAUAAAAGAAUUAGAAUUAAAUUAUAAAAUUUUCAGAAGUUAUCAUGUAUUAAUUUAUUAUUUUUUAAAGGGUCUUAAUAGAAUUUUUUUUCCAUUUUGGUUUGGCCAAUACCCCUGUCUACCUCUUUCAAUUUGCUUCAACCCUAAACCUAAUAUUCGAUUUGUUGUGGAAGUUUGACGCAUAAAAAUUUCUUUUUUAGAGGUUUAAAUUAUAAAUUUUUGAAAGUUUAAAAUAAAUUUUCAUUUUUAUUAACAAAAUAUAAAAGAAAAAAAACAUGUGUAGACAAACCAAGAAACCUUUGGGAUCAUACGGGUGAUUUUGAUGAUGUUAAUGGUUAUUUUGAUGGAGAGGGUGAAAAAGAAACAAAUGAUUCAUAUAUAUAAUAUAAUUAUGAAAUUCAAGCCAUAUAUUGUAUGUUUCAUCCAUAAAAAUUUCAUGGGAGGUCCGAAGGUAAUUAAAUGACUUGUAGGCUUGCUGAAUUUCUUUGAAAGGCCCAAUGGCAAUUUAACAUUCACAAAAUAAUCUCUAAAUACUGUAAAGACAAAAUCAAAUCCACAGCAGCAUUAGAGUUGAUUAAGCUAAGCAUUGGCAAAUAUUACUUUGAUUUUGCAUGCAAUAUUAGCAAAACCCCCUCUUACAUUAGAUAAACAACAUACUCCAUGAAACAUUGAUAGCCCAAAUACAAAUUUCAUCGACAAAAAAGUCUCUUUGUUUUGUAGAACAUGAUAGUAAAAAUGUGGAGUUUCGUUCUUCUUAUUGGCCUCCUUUAGUUUUCCUUGAUCAACAACCACUAGCCAAAAACACAAUUAGAUUAGAUUAUGAAUGAUACUGACAUUAUUAAAUAUAAAACACUCUAAAUAACUCUAAAUAAAUGGAAAGCAGCAAAUUACCUGACGAGGCAAGCUAGCUCAAUUAAGACCAUUGUGUUAUACUUGUCUCUGAAUUGAAAAAUUUAGAAGGAAAUAAAGAGAAAGACUUAGAAAAUAUUUGAAAACAGAUAAAACUUAUAUGUCAUUUAAAAUAAAAAUUUUGUAUUUAAGCCGUUUAAAAUUUUUAAGAUUUUUGAAAUUUUAAAAUGAUAAAGGUAAAAUUGUACUUUGGCACACCAAAAAUGAUAAAACUUUGAUUUAAUCCUUUAGAAAUUAUAAAAAUAUAGGCUAUUAAAAUGGUGAAAUUACCUUUUUACUAUAGUAAAAAUUACAAUUUAAUUUCACUUUAAGAUUUUCUGACUUCGCCCCUAAUAAAAUCUUUGGCAAAAGAUUAAAAUAAAAUUAUACCGUAAAUGGAAAAAGAAACAAAGAAAAUCCAAUCUAACAAAGAAAAUAACUUAUGUCCAAAAGCUACCAUAAACCGUAAUUCAUGGGAAGAGAGCAAAAGUAAAAACAAAUAGUUUAUAUGAUUAAAAUUCCAGAAUAGGUUAAAAAUGUUGAAUUAAAGAUAAAAUUAAGCGUGAAUUAAUAACCACAAGUGUACUCUUUACUCACCAUCUCUGUUAAAAAUGUUGGAUGUUGUUUAGCAACCUUUGUUUGAUUUUCUUCAGCUCAACCACAACAUCUUUCAUUUCUUUUCUUUCUUCUGGUAACUCAGCUGAACAAUUCAAAGCCAACUCCAUGAUAGAUGAAAUACAAUUUGCUUUAACAACAAAGUACUCAUCCUCUCUUCUUAGUAAAUCAACAUCUGCAAUUUCUAUCGCUCCUUUAGGCAAUGAACUUUCCAUCCAAUGCCUUAUAGUCUCUUCUUCAACAAAAACAUUAUCAGUUGGCUUUCUCUUUGUGAAAGUUUCUAUAAGGACGAUCCCAUAACUAUAAACGUCAGAUUUUAUAGAAACAAGUCCUGCAGAUCCAAAUUCUGCAUUUCAAGUAUAAUUAGAACAUCAUCAGUCCUCAAUUAUUUGAUAAAUCUAUGUAUAUCCACAUACACGAGAAACAAAAAUAUAAAACGCAAAUUAGGAAAAUAAUCGUACAAAGAUAAAAAAAGAAUUCACCUGGUGCCAUAUACCCGAUUGUUGCAAGAGUCAUGGUUUGCUUCAUUACUUCACCUUCUCCCAACAAUUUGGCAACGCCAAAAUCUCCAACAUGUGCAACCAUGUCUUCAUCUAGUAAAAUAUUGCUUGGUUUUAUGUCACAAUGAAUUAUAGGGGUUGGAUGUCCAUUGUGGAGGUGUUCUAUAGCCACCGCAACAUCUAUCAUUAUGUCGACCCUUUGUAUGAUAUCAAGGAAACAAUUUUUAGAAUGUAACCAUUUCUCAAGGUUUCCAUUAGACAUGUAAUCAAGCACCAAGGCUUUGAAGUCAACACUUGAGCAGCAAGUAAUGACCUUCACAAUAUUACGAUGAACUAUAUGAAGCAUAGCAUCACAUUCAAUGUCAAAACUCCUAAAUGCUCCCUCUGUUUGCAAAUUGAAAACUUUUAUUGCAACUUCCAUUCCAUCUGAAAGCCUCCCUUUAUAUACAUAUCCAAAACUCCCUGAACCAAGCAUAUUGCUUUCCUCAAGUCCAUUAGUUGCUCGUGAAAGUUCAGCAUGUGAAAUUCUUCUCGGUGUCUUCAAAGACAACAAAUCAUCUUUAAUUGGUAGAGCUGUACUCCUUCUUUGGCAUCUUCUAUACAUAAUAGUUAAGACUAUUAGUACUACGACAAUACCAAUUGUUGGUAAACCAUACCUAAAAGCAUGCAAUAUAAUCGUUUGGGAGUUUUUGUGGAUGUCGUUUUUACAAGGUGGGACUAGCAAUCUAGGUGGACCACAAAGUGCAUAAUUCUUCAUGAAUGAUGUGCUAGAAAAGUUUGAAAAACAUCCUUCGCUGGGAAUUUCCCCUUCAAGUCUAUUGAAAGACACAUUAAAAUACUUUAGAUAUAAAAGCUUUUCCAAAGAUUUGGGAAUGACUCCAGAGAGAUUGUUAUUGCAUAAAUCCAAGAAUUCCAAACUAAUCAACCCAUCAAAUGAUUCAGGGAUAUGACCAUGUAGUAUAUUAUUUGAUAAAUCUAAUGAAACCAAAGUUAUAAGACCCCCAAAUGUGGAUAAGAUAUCGCCCGUGAGAAGAUUCCUUGAUAAAUUUAGUUUCAGUAGACUCCUCAAAUUUCCAACAUCAAUAGCAUGUGAAUUGUGAAGAUGGUUUGAUGAUAAGUCUAUUUCUAAGAUAUCUUUAAGAUUCCACAAAGUUGAGGGUAUUGUAGAACUCAAUUUGUUGGAAUCUAAGUAAAGAUAUCCCAAAGAAGUAAUAUUACCCAAACAAGAGGGUAUGGAUCCAUGCAGCUUAUUCAACCCUAAAUACAUCUUGUAUAGUCUCUCCAAAUCACAAAGGCUUUAUGAGAUGGGCCCUCCUAAUUUAUUAGAGGAAAGAUAUAGACCUUGGAGAUUUCUCAUUCCUCCUAUUGAUGCUGGAAUCAAUCCACUUAAUUUAUUAUAGUCAAGUUGUAAAAGCAAUAGGUUGGUUAAGUUACCUAUUUCCAUAGGAAUAAUGCCUUGAAGCUCACACUCAUCGGCAUAAAAGUAUUGAAGGGAUUUUGAAAGGUUCCCAAUAUAAGUAGGAAGAACGCCACUCAAUGGAUUUCCUGAAACACCUAUUUUUCUCAAAUUCCUACAAUUCGUCAAAGAAGAAAGAAAGCUCCACUCAUGAUCAGUAGCAGAUCCUGUGAUCAAAUUAUUGUCAAAGAUUUUGAGCACUUCAAGGUGUUUUAAGCUGCCAAGCAUUUUAGGGAUUGGGCCAGAGAAUAAGUUUCGUGACAACUCUAGUUUCUUAAGCAUGGAAGCAUUGGAGAUAGAGUUGGGAAUGUUUCCGCUAAGUUUAUUUCUCCACAAUAAAAGAAUCUCAAGCUUUGGAGCAUUGGUGAUUGGUGGUAAAUCACCUGUGAAAUAGCAUCUUUUAGUAUACACAUUCAUUGAAUACCAAAUUCACAAAAUAUAUAAUACAUUAAAAUAAAAACUGUAAAACUUUAAAUCAAUUAAGAAUAAAAUUUUGGCAUGGAAAAAUGUGAUGAAAUCAAUUAGAAAGUUGAGACAUAAUAAGAAGUUUUGAGUAGUAAUUACUCAUGAUUUCUAUAGACAAAACAUAUAAUACACUGAUAAUUUUUUAAAAAAUAUUGUAAAACCUGAAAUAAAAUAAAAAAUAAAAGUUUGGCAUGAGAAUGUGGCAUCUAAUCAUUCUUAAAAAUAAGACUAACAUUGAAUAAUAAUUAGUUAUGAUUUGAGAAACAAAAAUGUUAAAGAUGUAAACUGGUAUGAUUUUUAUCUAUUGGGUUAAUUAUUUAUUUUUAUUAAAUUAUAUAUAGUGUAAAAUUUAAAGAUUAUUAUUUGCUCAAAAUUUUUGUAUUUUUCGUAUAUUUGAAAUUUAAUCUUUAUAUUUUUUAUUUUCUGUGAUUUAGUCUCUCUACUUUUUGAAUUGAAAAUUUUAAGUUUAUUUAUUAACACUGUUAAAAAGUUUUUGUGUUAGUAUGGCAUUUUGAAAAAUAAAAUAAAAUUGAUAUCUAUGUUUUUAAUUAUUCCAAAUAUUGUUUUACUAUUUCAAGAUAAACUUUUUGUGUCUAUACCAAUAUCUUAAGAACUAUUGUUGCAUGUUUAAUUAUUCUAAAGAUUUGUUGAUUGAGUCUUGGUUGAAGUGCAUUAUUCUCCUAUUUAUGAAUUGGGGAGUUGAUAAAGUACUUUAUUUUAAUAUAUUUUAAAAUAUUAAAAAUUUAUUAAAAUAUUUUUUAUAAAACUUGAUUGUACCACAAUAUACAAUUUUAAUAUCAAAUUUUUAAUUGUUUUUUAAAAAUAUUAGCGAAUAUAUACUUUAUUUCAAGUUACACAAUUUUUACUAGCUUUUAACUUUUUUUAAAAUUUUUAUCGUCUUUUAUAAUUUCUAAUAAUUUUUUAUAAUUUUUUACAAUAUUUACAAUUUCUAACAAUUUUUAAUAAUUUUAUUAUUUAUUUCAAAUUUAAAAAUUAACAAAUUUUUAUUUUUUUAAAACAAUUAUAUAUUUAUAAUGUAGUUAUUUUUUUAUAAUUUUUUUUUGAAAUUUAAAGAUUUUUUUGGUUUUUUUUUUCUAGAUGAUGAUGCCAUCAUGAUGCCAUCAUAUGCCACAUGCCUUCUAAUUUGUUGUCAUAUAGACAUAUUUCUUCGAGCGUAGUUGAAUUAAAAAUACUUGAUGGAAUCUGACCUGCACACAUAGUCGAAAAUUGAAGUGAAAAGCAUACCUUCUAAGCUGUUAAACUAAAAAUACUUUAAGCAUAUUUUAUUUUCCAUCAAAUUAACUAUUUUGCCUUGAAUGAAAUAAAAUGUUCUUAUUUUUGUUAUCUAUUACAAAUCAAACUCUUUUAUGAAAAAACUAUUUUAAAUUAAAGAAACAAAGAAAAUUCAAUAUCUUCUAAGUUAUUCCACUCCAAAUAUAAUCUUCAGUGAAGAAAUCUUGAAGAUGGAAGAUGGAACCUUACCAGAUAAUUGAUUGAAUCCCAAGCUCAAGGACUCUAGAUUAGACAUGUUAACAAGUGUUUCAGGGAUUGUGCCUAUAAAGUUAUUAUUUUUCAUUUUCAGCCUUCGAACUCCCUGUAAGUUCCCAAGCCAUGAUGGAAUUUCCCCAUUAAGACUGUUGUAUUUUAAUCGAAGGAUCCUCAAACGAUGCAAUUGGCCCAAUUCUUUAGGGAGAUGGCCAUAGAAAUGGUUUCUACUCAAGUCGAGAGAGAGUAGAAAUGAAAGAUUUCCAAGGUGUGGAGGGAUACUACCCCUAAGAUUCAUGCUUUUAAGUUUCAAAGCUAUAACUCUUUUAUGGAGGAUGCCACAAGAAACACCAAUCCAAUUGCAAACAGAGGUUGAGGCCGUCCAAUUGUUUGCCAAGACAUUUUGAGGACCGGCAAUGCGAUCCUUAAACUCGAGAAGUGCAAACUGAUCGGAGUUGAGAUUCCUGACUGUCAUACCCCAGCAAAGUCCGGAACAUGGUACGAAUAAAGCUAAAAGAAGAUGAAAGCAAGUGUUGUAGUUCAUGAUAGCAAGACGGAAUAAGCCAAGAAAAUAAAAAAAAGUAGGACAAGGGAAGUUGAGUUGAUAAAAUAGUUUGGAUGAUGAAGAAAAGCCCAGAGAGCAUGCUUUAAUAUGUUUUGAAGAAAUUUCAAAAUAAAUUUCAAAAUAAAUUUCAAAAUAAAAAUUUAAAAAGGAAAGCAAAGUUUUGAAGAAAUUUCAAAAUAAAUUUCAAGUCUUCUUCUUUAAAAAAUACGUACAAAGAGCGAAUUUUCAAAAUUUCUCCUAAAUUUUCUUCACAUUACUCCACAUAAUCCAUUAAAAAAACUUAAAAAAUAUAUUUUAUUAAUUACUAUACAUUCUUUUACUUUCAGAAUAAUAAAUUGUUUAAAAUUUGCUAUUAGUCCCUGUAAUUUAAAAGUUAAAAAAAAAAUUCAAUCCUCCUACUUUUCUAAUUUAAAAAUUCUAGUUCAAUCAAUUUUAAUUUUAAAAUCUUUGUAUAAAAGGUGUUUUUUUUUUGUGACCGAUCACACUUAACCAAUAUUUAAAAAUUAUUAAAAAAUAUUUUUUUUUGAAAUUUAAAGUGAUCUAAAAACAUAUUUUUAAGUACUUUGGACAGUCUAUUGUUGAUUUCCUUAUUAUAUUAAGUGUUUGCAAUCACUCCUAAUAUAUUGUGCUUGAGUUGUGACAAAGUCGAUCAUCAAAUUGCCAUAAUGAUCUAUUGAUGCUGAAAUUAAAGUUUUUGUUAUAUUGAUAGAGCUUGUCCUUCAACGCGUACAACGUGUUUGUUAUUUUUCUCCCUUCAAAUUGUAUGAUCUUAUUCAUUAAAUGAAUUAAUGAAUUUCCCUUUUAAAAAGAUAUAUUUUUAAAAAUUAAAUACUUUAUAAAAUAUUUAAAAAUUUGUAAGCCUUAAAACAAUCAACAAAAUAUUUUUGAAAUUUUAUAAAUAUAUUUUAAAAUUAUAGUAACGCUACAAAAUAUAUAUAUUUACUAAUUAUAUGCACCUUUUUUAUUUUUUUUCCUAACAUAUCAUUAUUUUCAACACUAUCGUAAUCCUGUUUUGAUAAUUCCCUUUCCAUACAUCCUUUUUCUACAUAGAAUUUCAAAAGAAAAUGUGAAUUAAUGUAAACGUGAGAAGACUUAAUUACAUUUAUUAGUUUAUCAAUCAAAACUUAAUUAGAAUCCAUCAAUAUUUCACACAUCAAAAACCCAAACAUAAAAUUCACUUUUAAAUUAUUUGAAGAUACAUUUGUAUUAUAGGAAAUGGAUUAAAUUAGUCUUUUAUUAUUAAAUGUAUUAUUUUAAUCUUUGUAUUAGGUAUGAAUUGUAUCUCCUAGAUUGAAGCCAAAGCUAUUCUUGAAAGACUGAAAUUAAGAUUCAGAUGUGUUGAGAUGGAAAGUGGCAACACAAUGUUGAUUGAAACUAUUUAUAACGGGUUGGCUACAAUAAGUAGUGCUGCCGAAGUAAGACAGAUUCACGAUUGGUGUUCCAAAAAUUGGGAAGUCAAAUUUCGACAUAUUCAACGAAAUGCCAAUAAAGUUGUUGAUUGCAUAGCUAAGGCAAAUGGAGGCGUAAUUGAGCAGCUGGUUAUCUUGGAAGAUCCUCUGCAUUAUGUGAGAUGCUAGCUUGAAGAAGAUAUUAGACAGUCACUAGUGACUGAUGAUAAUUUUCAUUUGGACUGAUGAGCGCUUAAUUUUCUAAGCUUAUGUUCAACAAAAAAAAAUUUAAAUACGUCUAAAUUGUAAUAGAGUUAACAUUUAGUGUUUAAAAAAUAUCUUAAAAAUUAUUUUUUUCCAAUUGCAGUUCAAUUCCACAAAUAUCGACGAUGAACCCGGACAUAAAAAUUACAGAAAAAAAAACACAUCUAUUAUCAAACCAGCAAUCCAUGUCUAAACUUAAAUUAACAAAAUUUGCCACACAACGCCCGGUACACUAUUAUAUAUCUAUACUAGAUUUAUUCUAGAUGCACAUGUUUUAUUAUAUUUAAAAAUUAAAAUGUAUGGUUGACUAAGUUUUAGUUGAGUUAGUAUUGAUAUUAUUGUCAGUGUAGGAAAAUGUGAGUUUAAUCACGCUCAAAUGUGUUUUAUCCUCCAAUUCAAGGGUUAGGAAAAGGUUAUUGAUAAUUAAAUUAUACCAACUUUUAUAAUAUUAAAAAAAAGGAUUUAUAAAUAAUAUAAGGAAAAGAAAAAAAGAGAAACAUAUUCAUAUUGAUGGGCUCUUUCAAUAUUAGACUUUUUUUUCUAUCACAAGUAAAAAUAUCAAAGGUGAUAAUAAUUAAAUUAUAAAAUUUAAAUUGAGAAAAUAGGGGAUAAAAUUUAUAAGUUUUAAAGUAUAAAGAAUGAAUUUAUAACUAACAACAUAUUUUAACCACAUAAUAAAAGUAGUUAUGGAGAGGAUCAUAUAAAAUGCAAAAAUGAAAUAAUAGAAAAGAAAUAAGUGUUGGGUAUAGUGGCAAUGUAUAUUAUACUUCUAAGGGGAGAUCAAGAUUUUAGACAAGGGAAGAAUUUUAAACCUGCUUUUUUCUCUAGAACUCAACGCAAACCUCAAAUUUAUCUUUUUAAAAGAAUUUAAAAAUAUCUAUAUAAAAGGUGAUUUUUUACCGAUCACACUUAACAAAAUUAAAAAAAAAUUGAAAUUUAAAGUGAUCUAAAAACAUAUUUUAAAGUGCUUUUGACCAUCUUGUGCUGAUUUCUUUAGUAAUUUGAUUUGUUCAAUAUAGAUUUUGGUGACUUAAAACAAAAUUAAUAAAAAAAUAUUUUAUCAGAUAUCUUUUUAAUGUUUAAUAAUAAGUUAAUUUAUAAAAUAUACUUUCAUUGGACACAGGGCCUCCAAGGCGGUGAACCACUAAUCAAAUUAAUUUUGAGAUACUUAAAUUUGUUUUCAUCAAUUAAGAAAUUAAAAAAAUUUGUUGAGACCUCAUGAUUAUGUUUUAUAAUUUCAGGCUUAUCAACUAUUUUGAAAAACAACAAAACGUCUUACACCAAAAACUAAAAAAAUAAAAACGUCGACAUUAAAUUUGUUGCCAUGCAAUCAAUUUUAAGAUGGUUUUUGGAGUUAUAUAUCACCUUAGCAUUGACUUACUUUUCUACACUUAGUCUUCUCCAACAAGUUAAAUAUUUCAAUUUUAACAACAUUGACAGGUCUUUGGGGUAGGGUCGAGCAAAACUCAAUAUAGGCUGAGUUGGCUCGGCCAAGUCGAGUCGACUUGUUCAAAUUAUUUAAAUUCGUAAUUUUUAAGGUGCAGUUAGAAUUUUUUGUUUUGAGAUGCUAAGAUUAAAAUAUUUCAGUUGCUAAAACAAAAUAUUUGUAUUUAAAAAGGCAUAAAUUAAAUAAUUAAGUUUUUCGAGUUUCCAUUUAAUCAAAGGUUAAAAGGACUAAAUUGAAGCUUUUUAUUUUUAAGAAAGGCUGAAUGACAAAUUGCCCAAAGCCAUGCCCCUAGCUAUACAACUAACUUCUCUAUGAUUAGUCCUUCGUUUGCUUUGGGUGAAAUCUUCCAACUAGCCUCAUCCUUGGUUUUACUUUCCAACAAUUAGUGUAUCACGAGUUUUGUUUUCUUUAAAAAAUAUUUGUGGAUAUUAGGAGAUAAUGAAAAUUAUUUUACUAUGAAAUUUUAAUAAAACUGGAAAAUAAGUAAUUUAUUUUAAGAGGUCGCAAUUAAACGUUAGAUUUCCAAUUUUUAAAUUUUAAUUUUUUUUUGACAAUUGCAUAAUAUUUUGAGUGUUGUAGGAAUGCCAUAAUAUAACCUUCCCUAAACAUAAUCGACUCUUGAGCAUGAUGGAUCCUAGAACUUCUCCUCUAUUCUCGUACCGCAAAUUGCUUCAAGUGUGGGUUCGAACAAUCACAAAUUAAACACAAAACCAGAAAUGAUUUAUUACUUUCAAUAGCAAGGUAAUUCUCUCUCAAUAGAAACCAAUAGAAGUGUAAUUCUUAGAAAAUAAAAUUUAUUUUUUGAAAAUAUAUUCUCACUACUUUCUAGCAGAAUAACAAUAUGUGAAACUUAUGUCUUGUGUUAAUAGCUCUACCAGUACUCUCUAUUUAUAGGGAGAGAUACGAGAAUCCUGGUUGAAUUAGUAAAACACGAAUAAUAUUUAUUUCAUAGAAAACAAUAUUCCACCCUAAGUAGAUCAAGUUUGUAUGACGCAUGGAUCAAAGCUCAAUCUAGGAGGAAAAAAAUAAAGGAAUUUUCUUUGUAAAGAAAAUUUGAGAUUGUACUAUUUUCAAAGUUAUAAAUAAAAUUAUACGCCAAAUUUUUAAGUCAAUUUCAACUCCAAUUUUGUAUGCACAAAUUUCUAGUACACUUGGUGGGACAUUCUUUGACUUUUAUCUAUUCUCUCAAAAAGUUAAAGUUCAAAGUUACAUUAAACUCAAAGAAGAUAAUCAUUAGUAAACCACCUCACAAGCCUGCUCAAACUAAUCCUACAACUCAUUCCACUUCAUCAUCAAACACCAAUGUUCUUGCUUAUCCUUAUGGAAUUAAACAGUCUCAUUUUCUGCAUUUUGGGUACACACCUGGUUUUAUUUGAUGCUAAAACAGUCCCCGAGCACUCCAAAGCCUAUAAUUGAACAAAUAAUACUAAUUUAAUCUUACAUAACAUGAUCCCAAAUUGAACUUGUAUCGAGGUUUUAACCCAUAAGUGACUAAACCUUACCUUCAACCGAGUGAACAGUAAUUCCCACACAAACUAAGACUCCGAUUGAAGAUUACGAGCCAUUGAAUCCUCCCCUAAUUGGCAUAAACAAAACACUUCAAAAGAAAGUCAACAAAUGGAGACAAAUCACUUAUCUAAAACUUACCGAACGAUCACAGACAAACGUGAAGCGACACGAGGCAGAGUGGGAAAAGAAAAAUCAAGAGGAUGAAGGGUGAAAGAGAGCAGAAAUUCGGUAGCAAUGAAGAGAAAAACGGCAAGAAAGUGGAGGGAUUUUGGGGAAAGUAAAAAAAAAGAUGAAUAGAAUAUUUGAUAACUACCCCAAUCCCUUAUUUCUCUCUAUCAAACUCCCCACUAAAUCCACUACUCAAAUUUUUAGUCCAUCUCAAACUCUCCUGGACGCACGAGCAAAAAAUAAUGCCCAUGCCAAAAUUUAAACAAAAGACCUCCUUCACACCAACACUCCACUUAUCCACCAGACCAAUAGGCUCAUUCUUUUAAUUAUUUUCCAACUUUUACUUAAAAGCCUACUGACCAAAGAUAGGGCUUAUUCAUAAAAAUACCAAAUUUUGCCCAAGACCUGGCUUGAACUUGGGACCUCCCAAACACACCCAGAACACAUAACCACUAAAGCAGACAUAAAUUUUGUGUCACACAUUCACAAUACCCAAAAUUAAAAUUUUAGGGCGUUACAAAAACACAUUAAAUAAUAUCGCAUAAAAUAAUCACAGUUAGAUAACAGUUCAGAAUGUCGAUUUUACAAUUUAACCACCAAUAGUAUCACAGUAUUCACAGUUGUAAUUUCAGAAUAUCAAAUUUCCACAUGAUUCACAAUAUUCACACAUAUAUAAAUAUAUCAUAAUAGAAUUCCAGAUUUGUAUGCACAUGAUUUAGAAGAUGCCAUACAAUUUUGGUUUUUAACAGAAUAAAUCCUACCCCACGUUACAUACCAUAAUGGGAGUUCCCCUAAACUCCCUUCUCCAACACACUAGGUUAUGGAUAAACCACUAUUGGUUCACAAAUAAUAACUGUCAUUUGGCUGUGGACACACAGCAAGUCCCCACAAUUGGAUUCUAGAUUUGGUUGUGGAUUCACAGCAAAAAAAUCCUACAAAUGAAGCCUGCUUUUGCCUGUAGAUUAUACAACAUAUACCCGCAGUUGGAAUCUGUCUUUGGCUGUGGAUGCAGUGUAACACCGCAAACUCGACCUGGACAUUAUGGCUGAAUCUUGAUGAUUUACUUUAACUCGCUAGAAAACCCACGAAUUUACUUUAAAAUCAUGUGGUUAAACUAGUGUUCACUUUGAUAAAUUGUUUUCCAGUUUUAGAGAAAUUUCUUGUUAAAACUGUUACUUUAUUACAAUAAAACAUUAAAGUAAUUGUAUCAUUUUGUAGUGGAAUCUACUAAGCUAUAAGGUUUUGAAAAUCGUGAUUUAGUUUGCAACAAAUCAUUUUGCAAAUAGAAAUUUAAUACUACUUAAUUUGGAAAAUCACGCUAAAACGAAAGCAAAGUCCAAAAUAAUUUACGGUUUGAAAUUCUAAAAAGCCCAAAUUAGACAUAAAGUCUAUUUAAACCAAUUUAUUGAAAGUGUAACACCCUAAACCCGGCCUAUAUGUUAUGGCCAAAUCUAGAUGUGUUACGAAAAAAAGUUUAUAAAAUGACUUCCUUGUUAUUGGCAAACCAUCGUAACCAUUAUUACUUAGUAUAUCUGAUUUGUUUGGAAAACUUAUUGAUAUACUUAUUUGAUUUAAAAUCGUUGCUCGCUUAUGCCUUUUUAUUAAACCAAAUAUUUUGCAGCGGAGUUUCUUUACAACAUCAUAUUUUGGAAAAUCAAAUUGUUUCUUGAAAAUCGUUAUUUUAGAAAAGUUUUCAUUUUCAGAAAAAUUAUUUUAUCAGUUGUUAUGCUGAGAAAACAAAAUAAAAUCCAAAACCAAAAAUAAUCGCAAAAAGUCUAGAGAGUCCCAAAAUGACAAUACUCUUAAAACUAGACAAGCUUAAACUAAUUUUAAAAGAAUGAAAUUUUACAGAAAUGUGGACACCACUGAGCUUCCGUCGCACCGACCCACCUAAAUCUGAGGGUUACUUGAACAGAACAAACAAACAGAGAGUGAGUUUUGAAACUUAGUGUCUAACGCAUAUAUAAACAAAAAUUCAGAAUCAAUCUCAUGCAGAACAGAUACAAGUGUAAACCUUUUAUAAAAUUAGAAUUGUACAGAUACAAAUAUGCAACAUCCUACCCUCAUCCUCUACACACCAACUCCGACCAUCCUAUCACACCACGUGGGGUAUAAAAUACCCAUCCAGCCCUACACACCGUAUAGUGUUUAUAUGACACUUUUUGGAAUAAUCGCAGCAGAGUUGCCAGUAUAUAUGCGAGAUAUCACCUCACAUAGAACACUUCCUCCUCAUAAUACAAAUCCCGCCUCAUAGCUAGAUACAGACAAAAUAUGAUGUAAAAUAAAUUAACAGAUACUAGAGUUAACAUAUCACGCGUGAGCGUAUAAUAGAUAUUACACAUGCUUAUGCAUAACAAAAUAGAUCAUACAUAUUGUAUUCCAUAAUACUCAUAUAAAUGUUAUUUACGUCAAUCUCAAUCUAACAGAGUAGCAGAUUUCAUGCUUUAACGCUUAUACCACACAUAUAGACCCUAUAGAAGGCCCACAGUCGAUCGAGACAACAUGUAUGUCGCUAGGGAAAAAAUUUGUAAUUUGGGCCCAUAUACAUGUAUGAGCCCACACACCCAAAAUGGCCUUGCCCAUGUGGCUCACCAACCUAGCACUCAGCCCAUACGGUCCAAAAUGGCCUAGGUCGUGUGUCACACACAGCCGCAUGUUGCACACAGCCUACCACAUAGCCAGUCACAAAACUGUUUGGAGUUGAAAAGCCCAAUUUUUGGCUUUCGUCAAUCAUCAUUUUCUUACGUUUUCAUUACACACCUGGUUUGAUUCUGACGCAAAAGCAACCCUAUGUCCACCGAAACCUAAAAAUAGCAUUCCAACGCCCAAUUUCAGUGAACAUUUACAAAACUCAAACAAAAACUAUCCAAAAACAUAGCCUCACAAUAGCAUCCAACGCACUCGCACACUUAUCGUCAACAAAUAGGAAACACCCAACACUCAAUUCGUUGGCGGAGCACCAAUUAUGAUAAUGCAAAAAUUUUAUGGAUUCUCAACACUAUCGAUCCGAAUGUAAGAUUGAUGCUUUCCAAUUAUGAUAAUGCGAAAAUUUUGUGGGAUGGUUUACAUGAAUUUUUUUUGUUGUCAACGAUCAACGUAUUCAAUAAUUAAAAUAAAAUAUUAGUCGUUUUUAGAAAACCAAGACUAUGAGUGUUGUAGUUUAUUUCAGUAAAUUAAAGGUUUUGUGGGAUGAACUAGAUAAUCAUGAACCAUUGAUUUGUUGCAAGUGUGGACAAUGUUUAUGUAACUUAGGGAAGGCGCAUGAACAAUGUCGUGAGCAUGAUUGACUUCAUCAAUUACUUCUUGCUCUCUAUUGUAAUUGUUAUGCUCAAACUAGGUUUACACUGUUUUACCAAGAUCCUUUGCCUUCCUUAAAUCAGGCAUUCCAACAAAUUACUUAGGAGGAACAUGUACGUGGAAUUACACUGAUUAAGGAAGAGAAGUCUGAUAUUUUAGGCUUUGCUAUGCGUACAGAGGGUCAUAACAAAGGCCGAGCUAAUUGUAUUGAUAAGUCAACCUUGUUGUGCACUCAUUGCCAUCGCAAAAGGCAUGAGAUGGCUACCCAUUUUGAAUUACAUAGCCACUUGGAUUGGCGGCUUAAGAAGUAUGGGAAGCCAGAGAAGAAAAGUGAUGAUCGUGGUGGUAAGACAAGUGCCACAUCUUCCACGUAAGUGUUUUAUUUCAAAGGAUCACAAUUAAACAUUAGAUUUCUCAUUUUUAAUUUUUUUAUUUUUUUAACAGCUACGUAAUUAACGAGUACCAAUUUUGGGUGUUGUAGGGGUUCUAUAACUUUCCCUAUAUGUAAUCGACUCUUGCACCCACUUUUUUUUCUCUAGAAUUCAAUGCAAACCUUAGAUUUAUCUUUUUAAAAGAAUUUUAAAAUCUCUUUAUAAAAGACGAUUUUUUUAGGUGACCAAUCACACUUAAGAAAAACAAAUCGGUGGCAACUCCUUUCUAAUAAAUGUAAAAAACUUUUUAAACAAAAUAAGGUUGAAAUAAUCUAGUUGUCGUUAUACUUUGAUAAAAUUUUAGAUUUAGUCCUUAUACUUAAAAGGUUAAAAAUUAAGUCUUGUUUUUAUUUAAAAAUCUUAGUCCUAUCGUUAAUAUUGUUUUUUUUUGUCAAAAUUUGUCAAGUUGACAUAUUAAUUAGGUUUCUCUUAUAUAUCGUGGUAUAUGACUAACACAAAAUAAACAAGUUGACAAAAUCUACAAAAAAUAUCAAAGAUGAUAAUAGUUUAAUUAAAAUUUUUAAAUUAAAAAAGUAAGGGAUUAAAUUUAUAACUUUUAAAGUACAAUGAAUGAAAUUAUUGAAAUACAAGAACUAACAACAUAUUUUAAAAUAUUACUAGUAAAUUAUAUAUCUACAACAAGAAUUGUAACCUCUUAUAUUAUAUUCUUGUAUCUAUUUUUGCAUCUUUCAUUAUAAUAUGAUUUAUUAAUUUUAAUAUUUUUAUAGAAUAAUAUGCUUUAAAUAGUUUUUUGUAUAAUUUAUAAAAAUUAUAAUAAACUUACAAAAUAAUUUAAUGAUAUUUAAUUAUUAACCAAAAAAAAUGAUAUCAUAUAUAUUAUGUAUAUAUUAAGAUUCCGAAUCAUUAAUUAUAUAUCUACGCAUUAUAAUAAAUUCAUCUUUCAAAAUUUUCCUUAUAAUUAAAGCAUAAAUUAUAUUUAUAAUAUUAUAAAUAUAUUUUAUCAUAAAUAUUCUUUCAAAUAUUUUUUAAUGUUUAAUAAUAAGUUAAUUUAUAAAAUAUUUUUUCAAUAAAUUAAUGUGAUGAGAUCGUUAGGUGCUUGGAUUUGGUGAAGGGGGAUGAAGAGAAAAGGGAUGGAAGUGAAUAAAAAUGUUGAGAAAUCGAAAGGGUUAGCGAGGGAAGCCGCCAUGAAAGGUGGUUCAAUGGAUAUGAACCAUCAAGCUUUUGUGGAUGAUGUUACUCAAGGUUGUUGCAAGUAAAUUAAAAAAUAUUUUUUUAAAUUAUUUUUUUGUUAAAAAACAUUUUUUAUUUUUUAUGUGGCAUGCCACAUUAUCAUAGUAUCAUGUGACAACUUCUGGUGAUUUCUGUCUGUAACAUUAGUCAAAUCAACAGUUAAAUCGUUCAACUCACAGUUUUUGUUAAAUGAAGAGGUCAAUUGGUUUUUUUGGAAUCAUUGAGUACUCAAUUGGUGCACUUUUAUCAUAAAGGCUAAAUUAAUUUUUUUAAUUUGUUAUUGUUGAGGGCUAUAACAAUAAAAAAAUUAAUGUAAAAUGAAAAAAAUGUUAGAGCUAAAUUUGUCAUUAUAACUAAAAUGUAAAACCAAAAUUUUUUGAAAAAUGAAAAAAAUGGAAAAUCACAAAUUCUAUCACUUAUGUUUGCUUAAAAUUAUAGUUUUGGUCACCAAUCUUUUGAAGUAAAUAUAUGGUCACCAAUAACUCACCUUAAAGUUAUACCCCUACGCAAGAAAGGAUUAAAUGACAUUGGAAUACCAUAAAACUUGUAUCUUUUUUUAUUCAUCUAAUACCAUUUUAACAUUUUCAUUUUAAAAAAUUGACAUAUCAUUUUGAAUUUGAUCUUUUUCAUGGUAUCUCAAAUUCAUUUAAUCUUUCCCUCUCUAAAAAAGCUAAUGUAACACAUUAAUGACAUCAUUUCAAACAAAGUUUUAGGUCAAAUUAUUCAUCUAGUCCUUGUAAUUGUUUUUAUAGGUGAAUUUCAUUAUUAUUCUUUUAUUUUCUUAGGCUUAAAUACACAUUUACCCCUAAUUUUAUCCCAUUCUCCUUAAUUGGUAUUUAUGGUUUAGAAAAUUUUAUAAAUAUAUUAUUUUUUAAGAAAUUAUAAGAAGAUUACAAAAAUUCCAAAAUAAUAUAAAAAAGCCAAGGAAAACCUAGAAAUUCAAAAAAAAAAAAAAAACGUCGACAUUGAAUUUGCUGUUUCACAUUCAAUUUUUGGAGAAGUAGAAUUUUCUAACUUAUUUUCCAUCAACUUGACUUCAAUUUUCAAUCACAAUCAAUUGCAUUCAAGAGCACCACAUCUGUUUGGAUGAAACAAACCUCUCAAUUUUAAGAUAAACGGGUCUUUAGGGUUAUAAAUUGAGGGCCUUUUCCACAAUUGCGGGUGAUUCGUUGAUAAUAACCUCAACAUUUCUGUAUCACAUUUCAAUUUUUAAUUUUUAGAGAGAUGAUUGGGUUACAAGACUGGUUUGAAGUGAAGAUAUUUCAAAAGAAGAUCGAAUACUCUACCAAUAGUCAUAAUUUAAAAUUCAGGUUAUGUUUCAUUUCAGCUAAGUUAAAUGUUAAGAUUGAGGUUAAACCUUUUAGAGGUUGCUCACAAAAGGAUCAAACCUUUAUAAAAUUGCCUAAAUGAAGGUUAAACCUUUUAAAAUAGACAAAUAAGGGCCUAACCUUUUAAAAGGUGUUCAAAUAAGGGUUUCUCAAACGUUGUAUAUCAGGUUAUGUGUUUUACUCUAAACACAUCGACAUUUACCUAUUUUUUCUAUAAAUUUGGUUGAAGUGCAUGAAAAAUCCUUAUUUGAGCACUUUUGUAAAGGUUAAUCUCUUAUUUGACCAUUUUGAAAGGUUUGAUCCUUAUAUAAGUAACCUCUAAAAGAUUGAGCACUAAUUUGACAAGUUUGAGAAAUAUCUAAAUUUGUUUUCAUGAAUCAAGAAAUUAAAAAAGAAAUGUUGAGAAAUAUUUUAGAGAUUCUUAGCUUUGACAAGUUCCCUCCACCAUCUCCCUGCCUCCAGUCCCACCUCUUCUCUUAUGCUCCUUCCAGCUUCUUGCCUUUUGUGUGUUGAAAAUUCAAAGGAACAAAAUAUCAACCUACAUCAUAAGGCACGAUCGCCAGAACUUUACUUUCUAGCCUGUCGAUCCGAUCCAAUCCAAUGAAAGAAGAACAAGGAGUCUUAAGAUCUGUCAACUUUAUUUCAUUUUCAUUUUCUUUGUCAUUUUCUAUGUUUCAUGUCGAAUACAAUGAAAGAAGAACAUAGAAAAAUGUGGCCUAUUUAUUUCCCAAUCAUCAUGAAAUUACUUGCCAUUGACUUAGAAUUUUCUCACCAAUUUUCAAGCAAUCUGACAUGAUUUCUCAAUCACAAUUAAUUGAAUUCAAGAUCUUUUUAGAUGACACAAACAUUUCAAUUUUAACACAAACCAAUAUUUCGGUUAUACUUCAGUGCUUGACAAGCACUUUCACAUUUGUGGGAUAAGAACUCUUAACAUUUUAGGAUCACAUUUAAUUCAAUUGCAUUUAAGACCUCAUGGUUUUAUUCUAUAAUUUCAGUCUUAUCAGCCUUUUCGGAAACAAUAAAACGUCGACAUUAAAUUUGUUGUUGAUGCAUUCAAUUUUUUGAGGGGUCUUUGGAGUUAUAUGUGACUUUAGCAUUGACUGACUUUUUUAUAAUUUAUCUUUUAUAAUAAGGUAAAUAUAUUAAUUUUAAUAACAUCGACAUGUUUUUUAGUAGGGUCGAGCAAAACCCAAUUAAAAUCGAUGAUAUUGGCUUAGUUGACUCGGUCAAGUCCAUUAGAUUGAUAAAAUCAUUUUUAAAAUCAGUUAUAAUGGAUAAAGGUAAUUAAUUAUCGAGUAAUGAAAUACAUAAUCAAAUCAAUUGAUUUUGUUAGAAACUAAAAGAAAAAGGGCUAAGCUGAAAAUUGAUUGCCCUUUAUUAAAAUUAACGAAUCUGUCUUUUACGUAUUAGAUAAUAUGAACAUCGCAUAUAUAAUAAGAAAAAUUACGUAUGAUUAUUUAUUAUCAUAAAAGGUUAGUUUAAAUUUAAAGUAAUCUAAUAUGUUUAUUGAACUUCAACUAUUAAAUAAAGUAUAAGCUAAAUAAGUAUAAAUAUUCUAGAAACCAUUUCUAACUGAUGAUAGGCUAAUUCGAUUAAUUUAUAAAAACUAGAUAGUAGGGUUAUAGUCCUCAAACUACACCUAAUUUAAUAACAUUUAUAUUUUUUUUAGCCUUAAACAUUUAUAGUUUUUGUUAAUUUGGUCCUUACUCUUUAAAAUUACAUAAAAAUUGCAAAAAAAUUAAAAAUUAAUUUUUAUCAUGAUUUUAAUAACAUUUAUAUUUUUUUUGUGGUUUGGUAACUUAUCAACUUGACUCUUACUUGUAACCAACUUUUCUAACCUUUUUCGUACCCUUAACCUAAGUCCCGUUACAAUUUCUAAAGACCUCUUGAUUGGUGUAUCAUCUCGAUUUGUUUUUAUAGUGGUGGAGAUUUGUUUUUUGUAGUGGCAUGAUUGCCAGAACUUUACUUUCUAUCCUGUCGAUCCGAUCCAAUGAAAGAAUAACAAAGAGUCUUAAGAUCUGUCAACUUUAUUUCAUUUUCAUUUUCUUUGUCAUUUUCUAUGUUUCUUGUCACAUACAAUGAAAGAAGAACAUAGAAAAAUGUUGCCUAUUUAUUUCCCAAUCAUCAUUCUAACAGGCCGAAUUAGCCCAGGCCCAAACAUUAAUAAAAUGUCCAGAUUACAAAAUAACCAACCAAAAAUUAAAAGCCCAAAAUAAUAAAAUAAAACCCAUUACAUUAACCCAAAACUCCAGCCCAAUUACAUUGAAGCCCAAAAAAAUAGUUUUUAGAAACCCCUAGGGUUUCUGGAACAAUCCGCGCCGCUCCUCCAUCCGCUUCUCCACGCACGCUGCACCUUUCCACGUGCGCCUCCAGCUGGCAGUGUACCUCCAAUGCAACAAACAAAGCAACAAGCAGCAAAAGAAAUGGAAAAACAACAAAAAAAAAAAGAAAGGAGCAACAAUGUAUAACAGAUUGAUAACAAAUAAUAGAAAAAAUAGCAGUAAAUAGGAAAAAAAAUUAAAAAAUAAUGAGGGUAAUUUCAUUUUUUUCUCUGUUUUGGCUAUAAAGAGAGCCGGUCAAAAUCUCUAAAGGGGGAUUUAGAAAUCAAUCAGAAAACAAGUAUUUUGUACCAACAAUUAGAGAAAAAAAAUACAAAAAUAGGGAUUGAAGGUUUUUUUUUCUUUCGUUUCGAUUUAUUUUAAAAUAGCAUAGAAAAUAAAAAGAAGGCUUACCUUGCGACGCCUUCAGAUCCUCUCGAAAAGGGGCUAAAAGGCCCUAUGUGGCACAGAUUUGACCACUGUUCACGGUGGAACCGCAGCGGAGGCGCAGAGGAUUGGCAUCAAUUUAGGCAGGGUUUGAAACCCUAGCAGAGAAAAAAUUAGGGUUGAUAGAUUUUUUUUAAAAAAAUGGCAAAAUGUUGUUUUAAAAAAUUUUGUUUUAAAAAAAAUUGUUGCUUUUAUAAAGGGUGUAAAACGGCGUCGUUUAGGGCAUGUUUCGAUGGCCCCAAAACGGCGCCUUAUAAGGCAACCCCCGACGACCCGACCUGCUCCAUGGGGGAUCCGCGUGGUUUUUGUUAAAUGGGUUAUGUCUAACCCUGGCCCUUCUACUUUUUAUACUUGUUUUAAUUUGAUCCUCUUUUUAUUUAUUUUUAUUUCUUUAAAUUAAGCCUGAUAAUUUUUUUCCAUUACAUUUUAAUCCUUAAUGAAACGGCGCGUUUUAGAGGAGAAGGGAAAAUUACCCUUCUAGUCCCUUCUUGUUAUUCGAGUGUUCAGAAGGGUCCUUUUUUGUUUAUUUUUUAUUUGCCCCAAAAUUUUGUUUUAAAGCUUAAUUUAGUCCUAUUUUGUUAUUUUAGCUAUUUUAUUAUUAGAUUAAUUAAUUUAAUAUUAUUAUUACUGCUAUUAUUUUACCCCUAUUAUUUAUAUAUUUAUUAUUAUAACUAUAUCAUUAAAUCAAUUAGUUUUUACAUUAUUAUUUCCAUUCUGUUUUUUAUUUACUUACUUAAAUACUUUAAAUGCAUUUAUUUUAUUUCUUAUUUUUUUAUGAAAUUUCAAAACUUUAGACUAUUUUUUUGUUACUAUAACCCUAAUUUCAUUCAUUUUAUAAUAGUUUUUUUUUAAAAUAUUUCUUAGAUUAAUUCCCUCGAUGUUAUUUUGUAUAUUUAUUUAUCUUUUUAAAUUUUCGAUAUUGUCUUAUUGUAUUAUUGUUGUUACUAUCAUUAUUCAUUAUUAUUGUUGAUUUUAUUCUUCUUUGAUUAAUGUUUAUGUUAGAGUAAUAGGUGUUAUGUGAUCAUUGUUAUUAUAUGUUAUAAUUUGUUGACACUCGUAUUGUAGUCAUUCGUCAGCUUAAUAUUUUGAGUAACAUUUUAAAUAUUACAUUAAUUUUGACCCAAAUGCAUAAUUUUUUAAUAAGUAAUAUUUCGUAUUGUGGAAUUUGAGAGAUCAUUCCCUAACUUACGGGGUCUCGAUUUUUUUGAUAAAUCUGAAUAUAAGAACUAUUUUAAAAAAAUACGUUUUAAAAUUAUCUCGGGAAUUUAAAAAGAAGCGUGUUCUAACUUACGGAAUAUGAUCUUUUUUUAAAAAUCGAGAUAAUCAAAUAUCUUUCAAAUAAAUAAACUUUUCGUGUUUAUUCUCGUUUUAGGAUUUAAGAUAUUGUGUCCUAACUCACGGGACACAAUUCUUUUUCUCGAUUAACGUGAAAUACGCCCUUUUUAAUUUUAUCUUUUUAAGUGAUUUUAACAAAAGGAUUGUAUUUUAAAUCUCUUCAAAAUUUUCAAUUUUUCGACAUUGAGACAUUAACUAAUCAAUUAGGUACCAAUUUUGGGCGUUACAAGGGUGUUAACCCUUCCUUGUACAUAACCGACUCCCGAACCUAUUUUUCUGAAUAUUAUAGGCCAAAAUUGUUUUAAUAAAUUAAACCCUUAAGAGGUGACUCGAUCACAGCUCAUAAAAAUUAUCGGUGGCGACCCUUGUUUUAAAAAAGGUGGUUUCAACAGCUUGGCGACUCCGCUGGGGACAAAAAUAAGAGUCAAGCCGCGAGUUGAUUAUUUCUUAUCUUUUUGUCAGAAAUUGUGAAUUCGAUUUAAAUUUAUGAUCUUUUCAUUGCAUUUUAUGGUCUGCAUCAUUUUUAUAUGCUUGCUUUACUACUUCGAGUCUUUUAAUCUUCGCAUAUUGUAUUGCAUAACCGUUCGGUUAUACCCUUUUAAGCGGGAGUGAGAAAUUAUUCUUUCGUGAGGUUUUCACCUUCGUAUAGGAUAGUGGAUUACUUUCAGGAUACAUCCAUACCUAUGUCUUCGUGAGAUUCUCAUCUCCGUAUAGUCAUAGGGAAAUGUAUUCCCCUGAACUGAACUCAGUCCGUAUGAGCCUAUAAUGGGUGAGGAUUGAGGAAUCUGCUGGUUCAGGUACCCUUUCUUUAGAACUAAACCGCAUGUAGUGAGCCCUAAGAGCAUACCCUAGGUAGAACCACUCCAAACCCCUAGUGGUCACCCAAAUAGGUGCUCUAUUUAUUUUUGCUUGCUUGUUUUUGCCUUGUACUAACCUAUUUGUUAUGGUUAUGAGUGCAUUGCAUUUUUAUCAUAAAAAAGAUGUGUUGAUUCACGUUCAGUUGCUAAAUAGAGAGCUUGUCAUGGAAAACGAAUUUCUUGAUAAAGUGGAAGACAAUGCGGUUGUCCGGAUAUGGUCCAAGAAAAUGUGAAGAAAGAAGGGUGAUAGUCUAAUGGAGGACUACACGACCUUGCUUUGUUGCCUGAUGAUUCAAGUUGACAAAGAUUAUUCGAGAGUCUUCAAUGUCCCGACCUUUUUAAAGAAGCUAACGAGCGUCACGAGGAUGAGCGAGUAAUGAGUUGCGGCCCGGAUCAAGCAAAAAAAAGAUAGAGGAGACACCCUUUUUGAAGAGUUCACGAGAUUUAUCUUAACAUCUAGACGAAGAAAAAGAUCAAUCUCUUUGCCUAGAGUAUGAGGGCAAAGCCGUAUAUAUCCGCUUUAUGUAAAUAAAUUUGUUUUCUAGUAAAGUUUUUCUAAUAGGAUUGAAUCAGAAUCAACGUCUCUUUUUGCAUUCAUUCCAUUCAUCUGCAUUGCAUUUCAUUGCAUCUAGAAUUUCACAAAAGGACCCUAAUUAAUCGAAAUUGUUAUAGCUACCUUGAAAAACUAACGAAAAUUUACCAAUUAAAUAUUCCUAUGGUACCCAUUGCAAAACUAAAGUAAUGGAUCAAAUAUUAGAAAGAUUAGAACAAAUGCUGAAGGAUAAACAUAACUGCUUUGGCUUAGGGUACAAGCCAGAUACAAGACAAAGAAGAAAUAGGAAAGGAGAACACGUUUGAGCGGGGAUGAGGUCAAAUGGGAGGGAUUAUUCAUCCCAGGCGAAGAAUGCCAAGAGAAGAAAAUAUUGAAAACAUGUUGGGAAACGUUCACAUCAAUGCCAUAUACGAAGAAGCAAUUGAAGGAGUGACCUUGUUAGAUAUCCGCCCUUAUGAACCUAAGAGUGUGCUAAACAAUUGGACUGCAGAAGAAAUUCUUGUAGUGUUUAGAGCUUACUCAUAGUAAUGUUCAGAACACACUUGUUGCUUUUAGCCUAGAAGUGAUAAGAAUCCCUCUGUGAAAUAGGCUCAUGUAUAAACAUCAUUAUUUUAAUGAAGUACAUCUUUGCAUUCAUUUUGAGCAAAUAUUCUUUUAUUCUUUUCAUACGAGUAAUUAUUUUGGAUUCUUUAAUUCUUUUGGGAUUUUCUUCCAAAAUCAUUCUUUUAUUACAUCCAUAAUCAUACUGUACAAAUAAUGUAAUAGCCUGAAUUUUCAGUGGUGUCGGAAUGGUGAUUCAAGAUCACUAAGUCUGACAAAUGAGUAGAAAAUAUUAUUAAUUUAGUAAGAAUAAGUAAAUGUGAAGUUAGGAAAAUUUUUGAAAUAGUGAAUAGUGUACUAGGAAUAAAUAUUAAAAUAAUUAAAAUAAAAAAUGAGGUAUCGAGACCUCGAAGAUUUUAAACCAAGCCAUAAGUACUUUUAGAAGUAUUUUUAGAGUGUCAUUGAGUUGGUAUUAAAGUUUCGUUAGAAAAUUUUAACGCUCGGAUAGUUAAUUAACCAAAAAGGACUAAAUUGAAAAUAGUGUAAAAUUUGUUAAAUUGUGAUUAAAUAGCUUAAGUGAUUAAAAAGGAGGGAUUUAAAAGGCAAUUAGGCCCAAAUUAUAUGGGCUGGACGGUUGGGUAAGAAAAAUCAGCAGAAUGUAAGGAGAAACAGGGGCAAAAUUGGAAACUUAACAAAUUAAACAUAUAAAACAAAGACAAAAGUGAAAAAUCUAGAGAUCUGCUCACAAUUUAUCAGCAAAAAUGCCAUAGGAGGUCUGAAAGAAGCUGGUUUUUCAUAUAUUUGAAUCAUGUAAGUUUAAUUCUUGAUUAUUUCUUCUAAUUUUUGUGAUUUUGAUACUUUUACAAUUAGGUCCAACUAAUUAUUUCAUUAGUUUUUGAUUUCAUGGCUGAUUUUGAAAGUUACCAUUGAUGAGUGUUGGAUUUUUAUGAUGAAUAAACAUGGAAUUAAAGCUUUAAUUUUGUUAUAUGAUGAUUUUAUUAAGUAAUUUUGAUAGAAAUUGAUUUUUGGGACCUAAUUGUGAAAAAGUUUGGAAUUAGGGUUUGGUGUUGCGGUUUUGAAUAUGAAAGUCUAUGUAGUAGUCUAAAAUAGUUGGAAAAGGUGUUAAUUGAGAAAAAUUAGAUCAAUUGAGGGGUUAAUUGAGUAGGACCAAAUUGUAAAAACUGUAAAGUUUGAGGUAAAAGUGUAAUUUCGAAAAUUUAAGGGCAUAAAUUGUGAAGUGAAUUAGAAUAGAAUUAUAUGCUGAUGAAUGAAUAAAUUUGUAUUUUAGAUCGAGAACCCGAAGCAAGCCGAGGAAAAGAAAAAGUAGUUGAUUAGUCCCUGAACUUUUACAAAUUCUGCAAAUCGACCCAGGUAAGUUCAUAUGGCUGAAAUUUAAUGAUUAAAUGUUAAUUUCAUGAAUUAUGUAAUGUAUGAUGAAAUGUAUUUAGUGUUGAAAUGAGAGUAAAAUAAAAAUGCGAAAAUCGAAUAAAUGAUCAAAUUAAGCGGAACGCCGGAUUUGAGUACUUCUGAUCAAGAGACAAAGUGAUAAGUGGUAGCUUUAGCUACACUUAUCUGAUCAAGUGAAAAAGUGAUAAGUGCUACACUUAUCUGAUCAAGAGACAAAGUGAUAAGUGGUAGCUUUAGCUCACUUAUCUGAUCAAGUGAAAAAGUGAUAAGUGCUAUACUUAUCUGAUCAAGUGACAAAGUGAUAAGUGGUAGCUUAGCUACACUUAUCUGAUCAGGGCCAAAUGAUAAGUGAUCAUACGUAAGACCAUAGUUAUACUAUGGCCAAGUGAAAGUGAAGUACUCAAUUUUCCGUAACCGUUCCUUAAUUUUGAUCAAGGAUGGUAAGUGACAAAUAGGCCCAAAGAAAUUAUGGUAAAAGAAUAAGUAGUAGUGAGUUUAUACCAAGGAACUCUCCAAAGAUUGUGGUUGACAAGUAAACUUAGUAAUGGUGUAUAUUGUAUAAGUGUACAAAUGUUUGGUAAGAUUUAUGUUUGUGCCUAUGAACUUACUAAGCUUUUCUAUAAGCUUACAUGUGUGUGUUUAUUGUUUUUCUAGAUUAACGUAUUUAUACAUUCGGAGGAUCGGAUCUACUUCGAGAAUCACACUAUCCAGAUAUACUCCGGUAGAUUUUGUUAAACAACUUUUUGGAUUUAUAUGGCAUGUACAUAGAAUUGAAGUAAAAAGUAAUAGAAUGAAUGACUGAGUAUGCAAAGUAAAUUUGAAUGUGAUGGUUGUGUUAGAUAUUGAAAAAUACAUGUUUUUAGUUUGAAAUGGUUGAUUGGCUGAACUUCGUUAGUAUUCAAGUGAAGUAGUUGAAAUACUGGAAUUGGUUGUGAUUUGAAAUUUGCAGGGAAGGUUAGAUAAAUAUAAAGGGGUUAUAUUGAUUUUUUUUAAAAAUUUCAAUGGAAUAAUUUUUGGACAGCAGCAUUGAUGUAACUUUUAAAAAUCACCAAAAAUAGUGGAAAUAGAAUUAGAAGUUGAAUGAGAUAUGAAAUUAAAUCUGAAUGAGUCUAAUUUCACAUGAAAGAAGUAGAAUAAGAAAAAGAGUUAUAUAUUUUUAGAUAUUUGAAUUUUAGUGAAACAGGGCAAGAAUGUUUUUGAAGUCCCCUGUUCUGACUUUAGAAAUUUAGUAAAAAUUGUACAAAAGGAAUUAUGAAUUAUAAUUUAUAUGUUUAAAUUCCGUAAUGAGUAUAUUUUAAGUAGAAAUAAUUGGAACCACCAUAUGAAGUCUUUGCAAUGAGAUAAUUGAAUUUUAGCGACAAGAGGUCAGGAUAGUCAAUUAGUGAAAUAGGGGAGACUUCAACUAAUAAACUGUAUUAAUUUGCUAAACCAAAAAUUCUGAAAAAUUUAUGGUGAAUAUACAUAUGAGUCUAGUUUGAGGGAAAAUUUACGGAUCUAAAUUUUUAGUUUCGUAUCUUGAGUUAUAAUUAUUUUAGUGACUACUGCGCAUGUGGACAGCUUUGUUGUGAAUGGUGAAAUUAAUUUUUAAAGUAAAUUUUUAUGCCCCGAACUUUUAAGUUCAGUCAAGUAACGCCUUAUGCUCGACUCCGGCAACCGUCUUGGGUAAGGGGUGUUAUAAAUAAUUAUUCUUAAAUUCAUACAUUCUUUGUAUAUUAUUUUGUACCUACAAUAGGUCCCUAGAUAUUAACAACAUGAGUGACGUUGCUACAGACUCAGAAUUUCCUUUUAAACAAGACAUGUGUUUAGAGGGAUCCCAUGGCUUUGAAGAUGACGUAGACUGUGGCUUAUCUCUGAAUUUGUUAAGGAUGGUAAAACAAGAGGAGAAGCAAAUCCUACCUCACAAGGAAUCAAUGGAAAUUGUGAGCUCAGAAGGGGGAAAAGAGGUGAAGAUUGAGACUAACAUUGCCACAAAGACAAAGCAUGACCUCGUUGAGUUACUCCAAGAAUUUAAAGAUGUCUUCGCAUGGUCAUACCAGGAUACUCCCGGGUUAAGUACUGGCAUUGUAGUACACUACCUUCUUAUAAAAGAAGAUUGCAAGCCAGUUUAGCAGAAACUCUGAAGGAUGAUGCCUGAUAUUGUGCUAAAAAUAAAAGAAGAAGUUAAAAAGCAAUUUGAUGUUGGGUUCUUACAAGUGGUUAAAUAUUCAGAAUGAGUAGCCAACAUCGUCUCAGUCUCUAAAAAAGAUGGGAAAGUACGAAUGUGCAUAGAUUACAGAGACAUGAACAAGGCCAGCCAAAAAGAAAAUUUCCCAUUGCCUCACAUUGACACUUUGGUGGAUAAUACAGUAGGCUACUCACUGUUUUCCUUCAUGGACGACUUCUCUGGAUACAACCAGAUAAAGAUGCAUCCCAAAAACAUGGGAAAGACUACAUUCGUGACCCUAUGGGGAAUGUUUUGCUAUAAAAUGAUGUCAUUCGGAUUAAAGAAUGUGGGAGCGACGUAUCAAAGGGAAUGGUAACCUUGUUUCAUGACAUGAUGUACAAGGAAAUCGAGGUUUAUGUUGGCGAUAUGAUUGCAAAAUCCAGAACAGAAGAGGAACAUGUGUAGGCCCUAAGAAAAUUAUUCUUAAGACUGAGAAAGUUCCAGCUCAAGCUUUCCAACGAAAUGCACAUUCAGAGCUAGGUUAGGAAAGCUGUUAGGCUUCACAGUUAGUGAAAAAGGAAUCGAGAUCAACCCAGAUAAAGUCAAGGCGAUACGAGAUUUACCUCUACCAUGCACUCAGAAGGAAGCUCGAGGUUUCCUAGGAAGACUGAAUUACAUUGCUCGAUACAUUUCACAACUAACCGAAAAAUGUGACACCAUAUUAAAAUAAAAAUAGAUUAAAUUGUAAGUAAAACAUAAUUUAAACAUAUGAAUACAUCAAAUUAAUAAUACUAAAUGAAUACAGUUAUUUAUGAUGAUGUUGUUGCCAAUUCCUAAUUUGGUGUCUAGUUAAUUUGUGACAUCAUAAAUUUAAGUGAUAAAUUUAAGGUUUUAUGUAUUGAUGUGGAUUCAAAUAUCACCAUAAUUUUUGUAAAUAAAAAACUAAUAAGAUAACUUAUAUUAAGUACGAAAGGGUAUUUUUAUAAUUUCUCUAAUCGAGUUGGUGCCCGGUUGACUCAUGACACUAACUCAAUCAGAAGCUUUAAUAAUAAUAUAGAUAUUCAUGUUAAAAAAACAAAAAAAAAGUACUUUAGUUCCAAAUAAUUAUAUAACAAGUAAAUUUAUAAUUGAUGAAUAAAUUUAUAAAUAAUAUAUUUAUAUGAUCUAAUAUAUUAUAUUUAUAUUAAUUAUAUAUCAUCUACAAACUUUGAAGAUCAAUUUAUUAAGUAAAAAUGAAAUUGUUAACACUAAAUCAAUUUUUAGAUUUUGUAUAGAUGAUUUAGUGAUGAUAAAAACAUUAUUAACACUAUUUUUUAAUUAACAAAAAAUUAGUGAUAUAUUUAAAUUAUAUUUAUCAUUUAUUAUUUUUAAUAAUAUUUUUUAAUUAUAUGAAGUAAAAUUAUAUUGUAUACUAAAUAUGGUACAUAUACUCUAAUUAUAACUUGAAAUUUUAUUAUAUAAAUUAAUAUAAAUUUGAAUAACAAAAUAAAAAAAAACUAAUUAGAAUAAUUUUAAAAAACAUUAUUUAAAAGUAGUUAAAAAUCACGUGCAACAGGUGAGAUCAAUGGUCUUUAGAGAAGAAAUGUUGAAGAUCAAAGUUGGAAUCUGGCCUAUAAGGCCUUUAAUUGCUUUAAUAUUAAGCAGUUCCAAACCAAGAAGAUUACCGAUUUCCUCAGGAAUUUGACCUGCACACAUGGUCGAAAAAUCAAUGUGUCAAACUACCUAUUUUGUUAGCAUAAGUCAAAGAGGUUUUCUUUUCUAUUCUACAUAAUUUGCAGAUGUUAGAUUUUAAUAUUUUUAAGCAUAUUUGUUUUCAUCAAAUUAACUAUUUUGAACUAUUUUGCCUUGAAUGAAAUAAAAUGCUCUUACUUUUGUUAUCUAUUACUAAUCAAACUCUUUUAUAAAAAAAAUACUUUAAACUAAAGAAACCAAGAAAAUUCAAUACCUUCUAGGUUAUUCAACCCCAAAUAUAAUUCUUUGAGUCGUGUCGGAUUUCCAAUACUUCUUGGAAUGAUCCCCAUCAAUUGAUUAUAGGAAAAUGACAAAAUUUUAAGGUUGUUGCAUUUGCUUAUACUUGACGGAAUGUUACCAUAUAAUUCAUUCCGACUCAAGUAAAGCCCUUCAAGCUUGGAAAGAUGUGACACAUAUCAUUAGGCAAGCUACCUGAUAGGCUAUUGUUGGAGAGAUCAAUGGCCUUCAGAGAAGAAAUGUUGAAGAUCGAAGUUGGAAUCUGACCUGUAAGGCCUUUAAUUGCUUUAAUAUUAAGCAGUUCCAAACCAAGAAGAUUACCGAUUUCCUCAAGAAUUUGACCUGCACACAUGGUCGAAAAAUCAAUGUGUCAAACUACCUAUUUUGUUAGCAUAAGUCAAAGAGGUUUUCUUUUCUGUUCUAUAGUAAUUUGGUGAUGUUAGAUUUUAAUAUAAUUCAGCACAUGUUUUUCAUCAAAUGAAAUAAAAAGUUUUUCCUUUUGUUAUCUAUUACAAAUCAAGCUCUUUUAUUAAAAAAAUACUUUAAAUUCAAGAAAUCAAGGAAAUUAAUUACCUUCUAAAUUAUUAAACCCCAAAUAUAAUUCCUGGAGUCGUGUUAGAUUUCCAAUACUUCUUGGAAUGAUCCCCAUAAAUUGAUUAUGGGGCAACAACAAAUUUUUAAGGAUGUUUCAUUUGCCUAUGCUUGACGGAAUGUUACCAGAUAACUCAUUGCUAUGCAAGUGAAGCCCUUCAAGCUCGGGAAGAUGUUGACACAUAUCAUUAGGCAAACUACCUAAUAGGCUAUUCCUGGAGAGAGCAAUAGUCUUGAGAGAAAAAUGUUGAAGAUCGAAGUCGGAAUCUGAUCUGUAAGGCCUUUAAUUGCUUGAAUAUUAAGCAUUUCCAAACUAAAAAGAUUACCGAUUUCUUCAGGAAUUUGACCUGCAGACAUAGUCGAAACAUCAAGGUGUUAAAUUUCCUAUUUUGUUAGUGUAAAUCAAAGAGGCUUUUUAUUUUUUUUCGUUAUGAAAUAAUAUGGAUAUGUUCGAUUCUAAUCAUAUUUAAGUAUAUAUUAGUUCUUGAAAGAAUGAGUUCUUAUUUUUGGUAUUUAUAUUGCAAAUAUAUAUUUUUUUAAAUUUAAAAGAAGGGAGGGGGCAAAUGUGUUUAAACUAAAGACAUCAAGGAAAAGGCAUACCAAGUAUAAUUGUUUAAGUUGUGUCAAAUUCCCAAUGCUUUUUGGAAUGAUCCCACUAAAUUGAUUAAUAGACAAUUCCAAAAUUUGAAGGUUGCAGCAUUUGUCUAUACUUGAUGGAAUAGAACUUGAUAAUUCAUUUCUACUCAAGUAAAGCUCUUUCAGCUUGGGAAGAUGGACACACAAAUCAUCGGGCAAGCCACCAGAAAGACUAUUAUCACAAAAAUGAAUCCUUUUCAAAGAAGAAAUGUUAAAGAUGGAAGAUGGAACCUGGCCAGAUAAUUGAUUGAAUCCCAAGUUCAAGAUCUCUAGAUUGGACAAGUUGACAAGUGUUUGAGGGAUCGUGCCUGUGAAGUUAUUAUUUCUCAUUUCCAACCUUUGAACUCUGUGCAAGUUCCCAAGCCAUGGUGGAAUUUCCCCAUUAAGACGGUUGUAGCUUAAUCGAAUGAUCCUCAAACGAUGCAAUUGGCCUAAUUCUUUAGCCAGAUGGCCGUAGAAAUUGUUGUUGCUCAAGUCGAUAGAAAAUAGAAAUGAAAGAUUUCCAAGGUGUGGAGGGAUAGUACCCCUAAGAUUCAUGUUUGUAAGAUUAAUCAAAGCUACAACUCUUUCAUGGAUGAUGCCACAAGAAACACCAACCCACUUACAGACAGAGGUAGAGUUCGUCCAAUUGUUUGCCAACACAUUUUGAGGAUCGACAAUGCGAUCUUUAAACUCAAAGAGUGCAAACUGAUCGGAGUUGAGAUUCCGGACUGUCAUAGCCAAGGAAACAAUAGAACAUUGUAUGAAUAAAAGUGAAAGAAGAUGAAAGCAAGUGUUGUAGUUCAUGAUGGCAAGACGAAAUAAGCCAGGAAAAGGGAAGUUGAAUUGAUGAAGAAAUAGCCAGCCAACAUGCUUAAAUAGGCUUCAACCCUUGCACACUUCUCAUACAUAAAGUUCGCUGCCAUUACAACAAGAAAACUCAUAUCUCCAUUCGUACCUAUCCAUACUUUAUUUGACUAACUUUUCCCUAACAAGUGUUCAGUAAGGAGAUAAAUCAGUUUGGAGCUAUUCACCGGCUUCUCCAAUCUUGGUUUCAAACUCCUAACCCAUCAAUUCACUUUAAUUGAAACGAUAUACACGAGUCUUUCGGCUUAUAUUUUUAAUUUAAUUUUUGUUACUUUUCAUAAUAUUUUUUGAGAAAUCCAAAUAUUCCAGUCUGAAAUUUCUUCAUUGCCACGUCUAUCUCCUGGGUAAGUCCGUGGUUAGGCAGCCCACUUUGGGAGCAGGAUUGUAAUUGUAAUUCUAUCCGACUCAUUUUACUAUUUAGAAAUAUAAAAGUAAUAUUAUAUUAUUUUUUAUAUUUUUAUAAAUUUAAUUUUAAUUAUAAUUUUUAAACAAUAAAACGAGUCAUUUGUAUUUGCCUAGUCUAAAUUGAAUCAGGAGUCAAAAAAAUUUUAAUCAUAAUUUACUAUUAUUUUAAUUAAUUAAAAUUUAACCUACUACAACUAGUAGUUGCAGAAAAAAUGUCAUUCCUUUAGAAAAACGAAAAUCCUUUAGAAAAAUGAGAACUUAUGAAGCAUUCAAUAAGAGUCAUUGGAAUAAAUGGUAACGAAAUCAUAAUUCAAUAUAAAGCUAAAAAAUGUACCAAUCUAUAUAAAUAAUGUAAGAUUUGUGAUACCUAAAUUAUUAUAUUUUCCAUAAAUAUAUGAAGAUAUUUUAUUAGGAAAUAAUUUUAUAUAUAAAAUUUUUUAUUUUCUUUUGAUAGAAAUUUAAUUAUGUUAUCUGUAGAAAAAAAUAUUUAUAGAAAUAUUAUUAGUAGAAAAUCAUAAAUUUGUGUGUGGCAAAAAAAAUUCACCACCAAGAAAGGGGCAAAUUAAACAACUUGAAACAAGUCAUUGGUUGUUUAAAAUAUUAGAUAAUAAUUUCAGUGAAGAAUCAUUAAAAUUAUGACAAAAUAACCCUAGAUAUUGUAGUAUUAAAUUGGAAAAUCUCAAUAAUAUUAUUAGAGUAAAACCUAUGAUCUAUCUAAACAAGAUAUAGAAGAUUUUGAUAUACAAAUUAAGGUUAGAAAUCAUGCGGAAAUAAAAAAGAAAAAAAAGCUAGUAUGGUCAUUAAUUAUAAAAGAUUAAAUCAAAAUAUUAUUUUUUUAUAGUUACUUGAAUUAAUCAGGCUAAACAAACAAAAUAUUUUAGUAAAUUUGACUGCAAAUCAGGAUUCUAGCAAAUCAUGAUAACAGAAAAGUCCAAACCUUUAACGGCUUUUAGUGCACCCAAUGGACAUUACCAAUGGAAAGUGAUGUCAUUUCAAUUAUGUGAUGCACCACAAAUCUUCCAAAGACGAAUGGAUUUUAUAUUUAAUAAAUAUAAAAAAAUUCUAUGUAGUCUACAUAGAUGAUAUUUUUUAUAUUUUUAGAUACACUAGAAUUACAUAAGAAACAUUUAAAUAUUAUUUCUUAAGAAUUCAUAAAAUAUAGAAUCAUAUUAAACCCUAAAAAUAUAGAGUUAGAAAAAAGAGAGAGAAUUUUUAUAAUAGUGGAAAUAAAAAAUUGUCCUCAAAAGAUUGAAGAAAAAAAGAACUUCCAACAAUUUCUAAUAUAUUCCUCCCAAAUUUUCAGUUUCAAUUUUAUUACAGAAUUUCUUUGCCGACAAUAAGAAAUUAAGAGCGCUCUUUAAGUUGAAUAUAGUCCGUCAGAUAUGGCUAUCUAUAACAUGGAACCUUUGGUUUUCAAGCUGAAUAGGAGAAUUGAUUCACUUGAUAAGUAUGAAAAAUUGAAACUGCUAAAUUUAAGUGCACUAACUCUGGAUAUCAUCAUUAUUUUUCUGUACAUUAAAGUACCUGUUUGAUAUGCGAUUUCUGCCUCAAACUAUCAACAUCUUUAACAUCCUUUUGCUAUAGUUAGCAUGGGUACUUCCUUUUAGAUUAACAGUUAGGUUUGAACUGUGAAUUAGAUUUCUGUGGCUGCUGGGAUUGAAGAAGUUAGUAUGCGAAUGACAUUGGACAAAUUUGGCAAAGUCUUCUCCAUCAGUGAAGAAAACCCCUUGGCGUAUGAAAAAUGUUCACCAUCUUAGACAUUUGUUUUCUUAUUGUAAGAAUAUUUUUAACAUUGUAACUUUUAACAUUAUUGUAAGAAUAUUUUGAAUUAUACUUCAGUUAUCAAUUUAUAUCAUAUAUCUUUUGUUGAAUUUGAAGUAUAAUUUAUAUUUGCUGUUUUUGGUUAGAUUUCAUGCUAUAGGAAGGGUUGUAUAUGGAUAGAAAUUGAAUGUUACAAAUCUGCCAAAGUUAGUGGCGUUUUUUCAUAAGAGCUGCUAAAGAAUGCUAUUUUUGGCGGUGUUUGUAAUAAAAGAGCCGCUAAAGGUCAUGUUCUUUAGCGAUGUUUGUGGGUAAAGCGCCGCUAAAGAUCAUGUUCUGUAGCGGUGUUUGUGGAUAAAGCGCCGCUAAAGAACAUGACCUUUAGCAGCGUAUUUUCACAUAAACGCCGCAAAAUUUAGCGGCUUUGUCUAUAGCGACUUUUUUUGCAGCGCUUUAAGUUUUAGCGGCGCUUUUAGGCCUAAAAAAGGGCCGCUAAAAGCCUGUUUUGCUGUAGUGAGCAUAUUUACAUUUUCGUCCCAAUUUCAACUAACACCCCAUCUAUUUCCCACUUCCCUUUUUCGGGCAAUUUCAACUAACACCUUCAUAUCAAACAUAACUAUUUUUCAAUUUUUCUUCUUUAUUUCAUUAAUAAAAUUAUCAAUCUAUUUGUUUUUAAAUAUAUAAUUUCAUUAAUAUUUUUUAAAUUAUAAUAUAAGAGUUGUUGUUUAUUUAUAGUUUUAUUACAUUAUUUACUCUCUCUUUUCUAUCAAGUUUUUUAAAUUAUAAUAUAAGAUUUAUUUUAUCAAUUUGUGGCUUAUCCAGUAUUCAUCUAUUUUAAUAAUAACUUGAGUUCCAGUCAUUAUCAUACCAGAAAGAGUUCCAUUUAUUCUUUAUCGUAAAUUUUAUAAAAAAAUAUACAUUUUAUUAUAAUACUAUAUGUGUUACGAAUAAUAUUUUAUUGUGGAUGCCCAUAAUUUUCAAAGUUGUAACCUCUAAUGUAGUAACCUUAAUGAAAUUAUGAGGCUUUUAUAUUGUAAUCAAGCCUCUAUUUAUUCUUUGUAACUUAAACAGAAGCAUAUUUUCUAUUAUAUUGAUAUUUUUUAUAGAUAUAUAUAUAUAUAUAAGGAAUCAAAUAAAAAGUUAUUUACCUUUCUAUUAUAUUGAUAUUUUCUAUUUGAUUUGUUCUUUUCUUUCACUAUUCCAUAAUAUAUUAUCAGUACGAUUUUAACCAAGAGUAACAUGUUAUUAGAUUGUGUCAAAAUUUUGUUGAGAAUCAUUAGAUUGUUUCCUUUUUCUUCUAUUUAGCCCCAAAUUGCACCCCUACACAAAAUUCAACAAAAACAUGGAAAAAUUAGUGGUGCACUCUCAUAAAUUAACCAAUUUAAUUACAUAAAAUAUGUAACUUUAGCAUUUUAUCAAUCAUGUUCUUUAGCGGCAUUUGUGGGUAAAGCGCCGCUAAAGGUCAUAUUCUUUAGCAGCGUUUGUGAUAAAAGUGCCACUAAAUAUCAUGUUCUUUAGCGGCGUUUGUGGAUAAAGCGCCGCUAAAGAACAUGACGUUUAGCAGCAUUUUUUUACAUAAACGUUGUAAAAUUUAGCGGCGUUGUCUAUAGCGACGUUUUUUGCGGUGCUUUCAAAUAGUUUUAGCGGCGCUUGUAGGCCUAAAAAAAUGCCGCUAAAAGUCUGUUUUGCUGUAUGAGCAUAUUUACAUUUUCGUCCCAAUUUCAACUAACACCCCAUCUAUUUCCCACUUCCCUUUUUCGGCCAAUUUCAACUAACACCUUCAUUUCAAACGUAAUUGUUUUUCGAUUUUUCCUCUUUAUUUCAUUAAUAAAAUUAUCAAUCUAUUUGUAUUUUAAAUAUAUAAUUUUAUUAAUAUUUUUUAAUUAUAAUAUAAGAGUUUUUGUUUAUUUAUAGUUUUAUUAUAUUAUUUACUCUCUUUUUUCUAUCAAGCUUUUUAAAUUAUAAUAUAAGAUUUAUUUUAUCAAAUGGUGGCUUAUCGAGUAUUCAUCUAUUUUAAUAAUAACUUGAGUUCCAAUCAUUAUCAUACCAGAAAGAGUUCCAUUUAUUCUUUAUCGUAAAUUUUAUAAAAAAAUAUAUAUUUUAUUAUAAUACUAUAUGUGUUAGGAAUAAUAUUUUAUUGUGGAUGCCCAUAAUUUUCAAAGUUGUAACCUCUAAUGUAGUAACCUCAAUGAAAUUAUGAGGCUUUUAUAUUGUAAUCAAGCCUCUAUUUAUUCUUUGUAACUUAAACAGAAGCAUAUUUUCUAUUAUAUUGAUAUUUUUUUAUAGAGAUAUAUACAUAAGGAAUCAAAUAAAAAGUUAUUUACCUUUCUAUUAUAUUGAUAUUUUCUAUUUGAUUUGUUCUUUUCUUUCACUAUUCCAUAAUAUAUUAUCAGUACGAUUUUAAUCAAGAGUAACAUUUUAUUAGAUUGUGUCAAAAUUUUGUUGGACUUCAAGUAUUGGAAUUUAAUUGUUUAAGUUAAGAAUCAUUAGAAUCAAUGGCUAUUUGAGAUAUGCUUGAGGAUGAUCUCAUUCUCUUCAUCACAAAGGUGGAGGUUAGAAAAUCUUUAUGUUUAAACAUUUAUAGCUUUAAAGUUAUUUUAACCUCUUAUUGUGACCUUAUAAUAUUUUGUAAUUUUUUGUAUUAUGGUAUAUAAAAAAAAUCUAACCAUAGUGAUUGAUUAGUAAUAUGAAUUUGUUAUUUGUUAUGUUUAAUAUAUAUUUUAUUUAUACUUAUUCAUUUUAUUUUUAUAUGAGUAAAUGAAGUGUUUGAAGAUUCGAAAUUUUUAUCAUCCAAGUUGAAAAUAAGUGCAAAAGUGUACAUUAUUUAAAAUAAAUUACGCAUUCAUUAAUGUUAUAUGAUAAAAUCAUUACAUGUUCUAAAGAACUAAUAUUGCAUCAAACUGUAAAAAGCUCUUGAAGAGUUAAUAUUUUACCUCCUUGUGAUACAAAAUCAUAUACAAUAUGAUAUUAUUUUUCAAAUCGAGUAGAUAUAUGUUGAGGGAAAUCUUUAUGUGGUUUACAUUAAAACCAUGGAUAGAAAUGACAUGAGAUACUCGUGUAUUUUUAUUAUAAAUAUUCCUUGAAGGAAGACACUUCACUUGUAUGAUUGACAUAUGAGAUAGUGGCAAGAAGUUCAUAGUGUUGGUAUGGUCGUCUAGAUCAUCUCAAAUCAAUAAUGAUGCAAAAUAAUUUGAAGAGAAUUUAUAUGAUUUUAUUGAAGAAUGAGAAGAUAUUUUCAUUUUGAUAAUUGUCAUCAAUACUAGUUCUUUGGAAAAAAAAUAUUGAACUAACAUAAAGUUAGAGGUUGGUUGCAUUUUUUGAUGAUAUCCAAAUAAUAUAUGAGCUCAUGUAUCACAUGUAUGCAACCCAAAGUUUACAGUAUUAUUUCUUGAAAUAAUUUGAUUCUACACAAUCUCUAUAGUAUGCAAUUUGUGCUAACAACGUUGGUGCAUUAUAUCCUAAGCUUGAUUUUCGUAGUUUUAGCUGAGAUAAUAUUAAGUUGUCUAUGCCUAUAUAUGUUAUACUUAAUGGUUAGCAAAAUUGUGCCUCCAUUUAAUUGCUUAACCAUUAAUAUAAGAAUAACUUUAAAAUAAGCAUGUAAUUUUAUUUGCAUAGAGUCAACAUGUAAGAAACAUUUGCCCCAUGAGAAUUGGCUUUCAUUUAUAAGCCAAUAGGUUUCAUAUGACUAUUUGGAUGUAAAAUAUCUAUUUUAUAUUCCACCAUAAUGCACUAAGAUGGUCCAUCAAGUAUGAAGUUGAGAAAAUUUAGAAUUUUUAUUUGAUGGUAAAAGUUGAAAAGAGAUAUAUACUUAUAAUUUUGAAAAAAAUAGUCAUGUUGCAAAUUUUUCUCAAUAUUAGGGGGAGACAAGUUGGACAAAUAAGGAUAAUUAUGUCAUCACUUUUUGUGAUCCCUCACUAAUAUUAUGUGCACAAAGUUUGAAGGAAAAAAGUAUUUGCUAGACAUGUUUAGUGAUGACACUUAGAGAUUGUAUAUACUAGAUGAUACAUAUACCAGCUAAAAUGUUCCAAAUAAUUAUGAGUCCUAGAAGGACAUAGUGAUAAAAAUAAUUUUUGGGCACGCUAGAAGGAUAAAAAACUAGUUCAUUCUAUAAAUCAAAAAAUUCUUGAAAGAAAAGAGUAAGAAAUGAAGCUGGCCACACAUUAAAGGAAACGAGUACUCAUGAAGAGACCUAAGGCAUAACUUUUAAUAAAACCCCAAAAGAGGUUCAAUACAUGGAAUUAUGAAUAUAAUAAGAUAUCUCGAUUAGUUAUAUCAUAACUAAAGAUGAUGGGGUUGAUAAAAGGAAAUUGUUGUUAACAACGAUAAUCUAAGUAGAACAUUUCAAUAUUAUGGUAAAAUGAGUAUUUUGAAUGAAAAUAUACUUGAAAGUAUUUAGAUGGGAACAACUCAUCAAAAUAAAUAGACGUUUCUAUUAUAACUUAUGAAAUGUGUCUCGGACAUGAAGUCCAAACAUUCGACAGGUGUAAAGCCAAGUGGAGUAUAUGUUAGCAUAAUAGUGAAAAAAUACAAAUCAUAAUAUAUAAAAUUGACUUGUAAGACAAACUUUCCCAAGACACUUGAUUUUGAUUAUGAAAAAUGAUUAAUUUGUGAUCUUAUCAAUUGAACAUACUUUGUAUAAUCAACAAAUUAUUAAUUAACCUCAUUUAACCAAUUUCCUUCAACACAUUUCAAAUCAAAUUAAUGUGUUGAGCACGCCCUUAACCCUUUUUCUUGAUUCAUUGCAUAGUCUAUUUCCAAGUACCAUAAUCAUCAACAUUUCAAUAUAUAAAGUCAUAACAUAAUGAAUCAUAGUUAGAAUUUUUUUUACCCUAUUAACCAAGUAUGGAACAAAAAUAAAAACCUAAUUUGUCAAGCUCAUUCAAUCAGCUUAUAUAUUAUAAGAAGAGCCUAAGUAUAAAUCCUAUACAUGAUUUCAAAUUCAACUAUUUAUAUUUGAGAUUCAAUUUAAAAUUCAUACUGAAAUUAUCAAAUUAACUCGUAAGCUACUCACGCUAAACAUUAAGGUACUCGAAUUCAAGUGGCUAGAUAUCAUAAACACUUUUAGCUUGUAAAACUAUUUCUAAGGGUCAGCCCAGAAUCAUGGUUGAACCCAAAAUCUGGUAACAAAAAUUUAAUUGAGCCAUCAGCCUAAAACAAAUAAGGCUUAAAAGGUUGGCACCCGAACAAUCAAAGAUAAACACCACCAUAUGCCACUCCCUGAAUCCGAUACAUACAAUAACACCCUUCACCACUUUUAUUCUUCUCCUUUUUUUUAACCUCAAUUUGGAUGGUCGCAUUUCUCUUUUUAGUGCUUUAUAGGGUUUGGGCUUUCAGAAUCCUCAGAGAUGCAAUUCAUGGAUCCCUCUAAGAAAUGCAAGCUUGAUGAAAAUGGUAUUAUUUCAACGGCAUCAGAACCUGACCCAAUCACCAAACUAACCCCACAAGAUGGCCGCAAGCUAAUCGAGCAAUUUAUCGUCGAUCAACUCCUUGACGUCCUCCAAGAUGCUGUUUGUUGUCACCUUGAUGUUCUUUCCGCCGUACACUCUAUUGCCGAUCAAGAUCCAUCUCAAAGGAAGCUUUUCAUCCGUGGUUGGGUUGGGAUACUACAACCCAACCCAACCCACAUUAGCAUACUACCAUGCGGUAACUUCUAGUGAUUUCUGUCUGUAACAUUAGACAGGUUAACAGUUAAAUCGUUCAACUGAAAGAUUUCUUUGAAGGAAGAGGUCAAUUGAUUUUUUUUGGAAUCAUUGUGUACUCAGUUGCAUUUAAGACGGGUAUCAUUCAUAAAGUAUAUAUCUACAUCAAGAAUGGUAGCCUCUUAUAUUAUAUUCAUGUAUUUAUUUUGCAUCUUUAAUUAUAAUAGGAUUUUUUUUGUUUAUUUAUAGUUUUAAUUAUAAUAUUUUUUAAAUAUGCCAAAGUAAAUUAUGUACCAAUUUUAAACUUCUCCUAGGUAAUUUAACGUAAGGGCAUUUAUGUUAUUUUACCACUUAUGAUAAAACUAACCUAAUUUUAGAUCUAAGUGUUUACCAACCUUCUUUUAGUCAAAUUAUGCAAGCCUAAAAUUUUUAGCUUAAUUUGAGUUUGUUUACUAUGUCUAAUUCAAGUUUUAUUAUUAAGAACUAAAUUGUAACUUAAACAAAUUAGAAUACCAAUUUAAAGAGACAAAAAUUCAAAGCCCCAAAACCCACACGGGCAUGUGGGUAAGUGACACAGGCGUGUGGAAACUGGAGCUAUCACACACGGGUGAGUGGGACUGAAAAAUAUGAAAUAAAUUAAUCCAUUUAAAUUUCCAACAACCAUGCUAUACUACCAAACCAAAUAAUGUUAGAAGCUUUGAAUAGGGGCGAAUCUUAAAAAAAAAUAGAAGAAUUAGAAUUAAAUUAUAAAAUUUUGAGAAGUUGUCAUGUAUUAAUUUAUUAUUUUUUAAAGGGUCUUAAUAGAUUUUUUUUCCCCAUUUUGGUUUGGCCAAUACCCCUGUCUGCCUCUUUCAAUUUGCUUCAACCCUUAGCCCAAUAUUCGAUUUGUUGUGGAAGUUUGACGCAUAAAAAUUCCUUUUUUAGAGGUUUAAAUUAUAAAUUUUUAUUAACAAAAUAUAAAAGAAAAAAACAUGUGUAGACAAGCCAAGAAACCUUUGGGAUCAUACAGGUGAUUUUGAGAUGUUCAUGGUUAUUUUGGUGGAGAGGGUAAAAAAGAAACAAAUGAUUCAUUAUAUAUGAUAUAAUUAUGAAAUUCAAGCCAUAUAUUGUAUGUUUCAUCCAUACAAAUUUCUUGUAGCAUUAAAUGACUCGUAGGCUUGCUGAAUUUCUUUGAAAGGCCCAAAGGCAAUUUAACAUUCACAAAAUAAUCUCUAAAUAGUGUAAAGACAAAUCAAAUCCACAGUAGCAUUAGAGUUGAUUAAGCUAAGCAUUGGCAAAUAUUACUUUGAUUUUGCAUGCAAUAUUGGCAAAACCCCCUCUUACAUUAGAAAAACAACAUAAUCCAUGAAACAUUGAUAGCCCAAUACAAAUUUCAUCGAGAAAAAAGUCUCUUUGUUUUGUAGAACAUGAUAGUAAAGAUGUGGAGUUUCGUUCUUCUUAUUGGCCUCCUUUAGUUUUCCUUGAUCAACAACCACUAGCCAAAAACACAAUUAGAUUAGAUUAUGAAUGAUACUUUCAACUAUGACAAUAUUAAAUACAAACCACUCUAAAUAACUCUAAAUAAAUGGAAAGCAGCAAAUUACCAGACGAGGCAAGCUAGCUCAAUUAAGACCAUUGUGUUAUACUUGUCUCUGAAUUGAAAAAUUUAGAAGGAAAUAAAGAGAAAGACUUAGAAAAUACUUGAAAACAGAAAAAAAAAUUAUGUCAUUUAAAAUAAAAAAUUUCUAUUCAAGCCAUUUAAAAUUUGUAAGAUUUUUAAAAUUUUAAAAUGAUAAAGGUAAAAUUGUACUUUGGCACCCCAAAAAUGAUAAAACUUUGAUUUAAUUAUUUAAAAAUUAUAAAAAUAUAGGCUAUUAAAAUGGUGAAAUUAUAUUUUUACUAUAGUAAAAAUUACAAUUUAAUUUCACCCCUAAAAGGAUUUUCUGGCUUCGCACCUAAUAAAAUCUUUGGCAAAAGACUAAAAUAAAAUUAUACCAUGAAUGGAAAAAGAAACUAAUAAAAUCCAAUCUAACAAAGAAAAUAACUUGAUGUCCAAAAGCUACCAUAAACCGUAAUUCAUGGGAAGGCUUGUUGCUUAUUUUAUUGGUUUCCAUUUUGAAAGAAGUUUGAAUUUUGAAGAGAGCCUACUACGUGAAAGCAAAAGAAAAAAAAAUAGUUUAUAUGAUUAAAAUUCCAGAAUAGAUUAAAAAUGUUGAAUUAAAGAUAAAAUUAAGUGUGAAUUAAUAACCACAAGUGUACUCUUUACUCACCAUCUCUGUUAAAAAUGUUGGAUGUUGUUUAGCAACCUUUGUUUGAUUUUCUUCAGCUCAACCACAACAUCUUUCAUAUCUUUUCUUUCUUCUGGUAACUCAGCUGAACAAUUCAAAGCCAACUCCAUGAUAGAUGAAAUACAAUUUGCUUUAACAACAAUGUACUCAUCCUCUCUUCUUAAUAAAUCAACAUCUGCAAUUUCUAUCGCUCCUUUAGGCAAUGAUCUUUCCAUCCAAUGCCUUAUACUCUCUUCUUCAACAAAAACCUUAUCAGUUGGCUUUUUCUUUGUGAAAGUUUCUAUAAGGACGAUCCCAUAACUAUAGACGUCAGAUUUUAUAGAAACAAUUCCUGCUGAUCCAAAUUCUGCAUUUCAAGUAUAAUUAGAACAUCAUUCAUCCUCAAUUAUUUCUAAAACGCUUAUUCAAAUAUCUAUCCACAUACACGUGAAACAAAAAUAUAAAAUACAAAUUAGGAAAAUAAUCAUACAAAAAUAAAAAAAAGAAUUCACCUGGUGCCAUAUACCCAAUAGUUGCAAGAGUCAUGGUUUGCUUCAUUACUUCACCUUCUCCCAACAAUUUGGCAACGCCAAAAUCUCCAACAUGUGCAACCAUGUCUUCAUCUAGUAAAAUAUUGCUUGGUUUUAUGUCACAAUGAAUUAUAGGUGUUGGAUGUCCAUUGUGGAGGUGUUCUAUAGCUACCGCAACAUCUAUCAUUAUGUCGACCCUUUGUAUGAUACCAAGGAAACAAUUUUCAGAAUGUAACCAUUUCUCAAGGUUUCCAUUAGACAUGUAAUCAAGCACCAAGGCUUUGAAGUCAACACUUGAGCAGUAAGUAAUGACCUUCACAAUAUUACGAUGAACUAUAUUAAGCAUAGCAUCACAUUCAAUGUCAAAACUCCUAAAUGCUCCCUCUGUUUGCAAAUUGAAAACUUUUAUUGCAACUUCCAUUCCAUCUGAAAGCCUCCCUUUAUAUACAUAUCCAAAACUCCCUGAACCAAGCGUAUUGCUUUCCUCAAAUCCAUUAGUUGCUCGUGAAAGUUCAGCAUGUGAAAUUCUUCUCAGUGUCUUCAAAGACAACAAAUCAUCUUUAACUGGUAGAGCUGUACUCCUUUGGCAUCUUCUAUACAUAAUAGUUAAGACUAUUAGUACUAGGACAAUACCAAUUGUUGGUAAACCAUACCUAAAAGCAUGCAAUAUAAUCAUUUGGGAGUUUUUGUGGAUGUCAUUUUUGCAAGGUGGGACUAGCAAUCUAGGUGGACCACAAAGUGCACAAUUAUUCAUGAAUGAUGUGCUAGAAAAGUUUGAAAAACAUCCUUUGCUGGGAAUUUCCCCUUCAAGUCUAUUGAAAGACACAUUAAAAUACUUUAGAUAUAAAAGCUUUUCCAAAGAUUUGGGAAUGACUCCAGAGAGAUUGUUAUUGCAUAAAUCCAAGAAUUCCAAACUAAUCAACCC
rnacentral:lncRNA from 1 species